rnacentral:lncRNA from 1 species
AAGCAAAUGCAUCCAACUAGAUCGUCCUUGUGCUGAAUAAUUGGAUAUCGUAUCCACUUAAAGCUGCCUUGUGUAGUACGUCUUUGUGUCUCUCUUUAUAUUCCAAUAAGGUCGGUGAUCUUGAUGCCACACACUCAGAUGUGUGUUCAUCUCCAGAUACUACUCCAUGCUACCUGCCCUUUGUGUUUUGUUCAAUAACUGGGUAUCAUAUCCCAGCCAGUAUGCCGUCUGUUUUGUGUUUGUUUCCUUCUAGUUCCAAAGGGGUCAUCAUGAUGUUACCUUCUUUCAAUAUGGUGCUUUGCAUGACUACUGUUGUAUGGUACCAUCUUGUGGCCAAUAAGUACAUCUUAUCCUAUGACCUUUGCUAUGACCCUUUGCAAAUAAGUAGAAGAUUGUUAUAAGCGUCAAUACUCCGUAUAAAUUGAUCGCUGCUGUGAGUUCCCUUUCAGCUUAUCGUAGGCAUACAUUAUUGCUAGCACGGUAAAGCCAACCAACACGAAUGAUGAAGUAAACGUAGCGGUACUUCUGUAUACCAACACCCUUACUUAAAUGUACCGGUGUCAUUCCCUACUGGCACAUAUAUUCUUAUAUGCUAGCCAGCUUGUAAAAUUAACCAAUUAAAAUAAUUAUUUCAAGAUAGAAAUAACUUAUCGGUUUCUGGAAGCAUGUGUAAUGUGAAUUCAAGGACUCGACGGAAGUUGAAUCACUUCAUCUAUAUUGCUUUCAGUAUUUUGGGUAACUAAAUUUAACAUUUGCACAUACAAAUGUUAAAGUACAAAUGUUAAAUCUAGUUACCCAAGCAGAAUAUGAAGAUAGUUUAUAGUAUAUAUAUACUAUAUAAAUCUAGUUAACAUUUAGUCUAAAUGUUAAAUCUAGUUACCUAAAAUCCUGAAAGCAAAAUGUAUAAAUAUAUAUCUUUUAAGGCAGUAUAAGCUUCGAUUCCUAUUGCUGCUCUGUUAAAUCUCAUCUUUCGUUGUGGCCCAACACUCUAGUAUGCAUGUUGCACCAAGCUUCUUUGAGCCGCUCUGCCCUCUGAUUUUGCUGCGUAGGGGAAUCUUUAUCAGGUUGGGCUACUUCCAGUUGUGCGAUGUAAAGAUUCGUAUUUUCUAGAAGGUAGACAAAAAACUCGCGUUCUCUUAAGGCAACAACCGGAAGAUUCUGCAGCGCACAGGGCAUACCAUUAUUGUAGAAACGACCUUUAGUACCGAUCUCCAACCCCCUUUAAAACUGGUUUUGCAACCGGUACCGUUAUGUCGGUCCUUUAGUACCAGAUCAAAUAAGUACCGGUUGGUAACCAGUAUCAACUUGUUUUGCGGCCAAAAAAAUAAAGAAAAAAACAGUCAGAAGGCUCGCGCACACGCGCAUCACAUGAAAUAUGCGUGUGCGGGGUCCAUGGGAUUCGAACCCAUGAAAUCAAGCUGCGCGCGACCCUUCGUUACCAUCUCACCUACAUAGCGCAUAUGCUUUCCUGAAGUAACCCGUGGAGGAGGCUUUAGUACCGGGUCAUAACACCACCCGGUACUAAAAAUGACUCUUCAGUACCGGGUCAUAACACCACCCGAUACUAGUAUCGGAUGGUGUAAUGACCCGAUACUAAAAGGCCUCUAGGGACCCUCAAAUUUGAACCCGGUACUAAUGCUAAUAUUAGUAGCGGGUCAAAGUGCAGCCAGAACUAAAGCAUGGGAUGAAAGGUCAUAUUUCUAGUAGUGUAUAGUUGUUGUGAAGGACUGACUUGGCUGUCCUCUCUCUUCUCCAUCCCCUUGGUCUUACGCCGCCGCUCGCACGCGAGCCGGUGCCCAACCAGAGGAGUGAGAGCUAGGGGCAGGUUGGGAGGUGGGGAUAGUGACUGGUGGCCAGGGUGAUGGUUGAUCCUGGUGGGGUUAGGGUUUUAGGGUUUUCGAGCUUCCUAUGGUCGGCGAACCUAGAGGAGGAGCUCAACAUCAGCUGCAACCCGCGAUGGUGGUGGUUUGGCCGGCGCCCGAGGCGAGGCAGCGCGGGAGUGCUGCCGGUGGGUUGGUGUUGGCACUCAUUAUUGACAACUAUUUUGUUCAUAAAAUAACACUCAAACUUGCUGCUGCUGCUGCUGCUGCCAUCGCCACCCUAGCCAUAAUAUAAAGGCAAAAUUUGCUAAAGGACAUGCAAAAUGAUGCUAGUUUGCUGGCGGGCAUCGUUGACCUUGUAAUAUGCUACAAGACACUCUAGUUGUGUAUCAAUUUGCUGAAAGACAUUGCUAUGACUAAAAUAAUGUUUCUGGACUGAGUUGGAGAGAGAGAUGGAGUGAAAUGUCUGUUUUGCCCAUGACCCCACUGGUCAGAUCCUUCUUCUUCCACCCUCCUUUGUUCUUUCUUCAACCAUUACCCAGCUCCAGCGUGUUGCAGAUCUACGAGGGUGGCGGCCUGGGGCGAGGGGCAUCGCUCGCCCUUGGAGGAGCGCUGCGAGCGACGGCGCGGGGGCGGCAACAGCGCGUCAGAACCUGACUGUUCGUUAGCUCCUCUCGCUGCUGGGGAAGGAGGGGGAUGGGCCAUGGACGGGGUUCCCUUGAAAACCUCAGCGUCGAGCUCGGGCGGCUACGCGCAGGCAGCACUAGGCUGCUUCACGGGGAGGGGGCGCGGCCAAUCAUUGGCACCCCACUGGUCCAAUGCUGAUGAAGAUGGUGCCAGCGUCGUGUGAGGACAUCUCAUCUCCUCGAGUUCCAUGGCCAGCACAGGUGAGCUGCCGCUACCACAAAACAGAGGUUUCGUGAGAGUCAAAAAACCUUAUGAAAAUAGCUAAAACCAUCAUGAAAAUAAUCCGUGACAUGACACUCUCACGAAAAUCCUCUCACAAAUAUGGUGCCAUGAAAAUACCAUUUUCAUGAGAGUGAACUGUCAUGAUUUUAUUUCGUGAGAGUAUUUCCUAUCAAUGACCUCCACGAAAUACUUUGUGCCACCAGGUCUUCAAGAUCAUUUUCAUGAGAGCUGAACAUCAGGAAAAGUCCGCCACAAAUGUUUUUCUUGGAGCCCCUAACUCUCAUGAAAAUCAUGCGGGCCGCCACGAAAAACAGCAUGACCAAAUGACAAAUUUCAUUUUCAUGUGUUCAUACCGCCAUGAAAAUGGUCAUUUUCAUGAGAGUUGAUGAAACAAAAAAUAGUGCCAUUUUCAUGAGAGUUCAAGCAACCAGGAAAAGACACUAAUAAACAUCCAGAUCCCAUCCAGCACACAUCCAUGCACAUAUAUAACCCACAUAUUGCUCCAGCACACAUCCAUGCAUAUACAAGAUCCAAAUGUUAAUAUAGUAGACAUCCAUGCCUGAACUAGUCUGCCACACAAGUCAUUGAUGCUACAAAUCCUACAAUCGCAGCAUGUGCAUACAAGUCACAGAAUGAGACAAUGUACCCAAAACUAAAAGGUUAGCAUCAACUGUGCUUCAACCAAAGUUGUCAUCCCAACUCUCCUCUUCAUCCAUGCCAUUCUUGUCGUGGCCGUCACUGUCAGUCCCCAUGGCAUUGCCAAUGCUGUGCAUGUCUUGGUAGGAACCUACAUGUGAUGAACUAGUAACCUGCAAAAAGAGCUCAAAGGAUCUUGUUCUCAUAUUGUAGCUGUGAAAUUCUUACAAGUAGUGUUGCAAUCAGUUCACUUUGAACCAAAAGAGCUCAAAGGAUCUUGUCCUAAAAGUUCCUCAUAAAGCUUAUGGGUUUGCUGGUGGAACUGGAAGGGCUUGAUGCAGCAGAUGCCAUUCUGCAAUAGAGAAAAAUUUAGAGAGCAGUACUAGUUAAAAUUGGAUGCAGAAGAUACACAUGAAACUAGUAUUUAUACAAGUCUAUACAAUUAAAAUCUAAGGAGACUUAUCAUCGUUUUCAUGUGUUGUGAAUUAAAAUAAUGAAGGAUACACUGUUAGGUGAAAAUUCAAGAAACAAAAUUUUGCAUAGAGAUAAAGGUCCAACAUUAUUACAAGUUAAGGUAGUUUUAAAUAUCCUUGUAAUCUUCCUUUGGUUUCCUCAACGAUUCGAAGACAAUAACCUUGCUUCUAUCAAUGAUAAUUAUAAGGAGAAUCCAGUGGAAACUGUGUAUUCGUAUUAGAACUACCUAAGGUUAAUUAGGUUAGGAAAGGAAAUUGAAAAUAGAUGGUACCCACACUUACUUAAAGUUGUCGGGCAAUAGUAUGUAAUGCUUGUAAUUCCGUUGCUCCAAGAAUUUGUAUAUGUGGUCCAAUGUAGACUUUGGUUGAUCCCGUAUCUGCUGUUGGUUAAAUAAGUGUUUCUAGCCAUUUCUAGCCAUUAGAACCGGGACUAAAGGGGGCUCUUUAGUACGGGUUGAUAUUACUAACCGGGAUUAAAGAGCCCCCAUUAGAGUUGGUUUUUGGAUGCGGAACUAACAACUCCUUUAGUCCUGAGUACGAAAACAACUGACAUAUUUGUUGCUGGAUGGAAGGUCCUUUCUCUACCGUGAAUAUUGCCAGAAAGAAUUGAAAGAGACUGCUUGCUAAAAAUAUGUCAUAGAUGUAGACCAAGCUACCAAGGAGGUAGACCAAACAUGAUACACACCAUGCGUACCUUGCUGUGCAGACUAUGCAUUGACAAGAUACCCGACCACAUGUUGGCCUCGGUCACAUCAAAAGAAUCAUGUAGGCCACCAAUAAACUACUUGAAGCGGCAUUCCGUAUCGUAUAUGCAUUGCCGGUUCAUCUGCAUUACAUUACAUAAAGCACUAUUAACUAUUUGAAUAAAAUGAACCAAUUUAAAAGUAAUGUGUUGUACUCUACUAUAGAAAGCCCUAUCACUGCCGGAUCCAAAAACAUCAUUGUUAAUGGUGGUUAAGUACCAAAUAUGACGGUCAAUAUUCUCAAGAAUAAUGGAGAAUUAGCAUUUCUUAGACACAUAUUUGGUUUUGAACAAUGUAGUUCCACAUGUCUUUGGAGAUUAUUUGGGUGUGGGUGAAAUAAUACAAAAAUAAGGAGAAAACACACUCCCAUGGCGAAGAAACACAACUCCAACCAAUGAGAGAUAGCCACAGGGGCAGCACACGGAUCCAUGGGCCCACUAACCGCAUCAAACCAUCUUACCAAGGCAGGUAGCACCCACAACCGUCAUUAGGACCCACCUGGAAGUCUACCAAGAAGAAGGUUGCGAGUGGGGCCAGGAGGGGUUCGGUUGAAUCAUCUCUAGCUAGCUCCCCUCAUCCCCAGCUGGUGGGUGGUGGUGGUUGAUGGUGUCCCUACAUCAGUUAGAGGAGAUUCCCCCAAAUAUUCCUCCUGUAAACCACCUCUAUGGACCUAUACAUAGAGGGGUGUGCUCUCCAUUCCAACACACACCACAAGUUGAAUCACUCUCUCCCUCUUUAGUUUCCAAGUUUAUGGAGUUAGGCUAGAGUAGCUCUGCUCAAGGUUCCAAGUCCACUUGGAGUUAAGCAUAUGUCUCUUGUAUCGUUAUUUCCUAAAUUGACUUUAUGCUUAGUUCUUAUAUGCAUGAGUUAGUCUAAUACCCUUGCUAUAUUGAUAUGCUCGGCUUAUAUGCUCGUAUGCUAGUCAUAUACCCUUGCUGUCGUAGUAUAGGCUUAUAUGCUCUCAUGUGUGCCUGUAGACCUUGCUAUAGUAUAUACUUGUUGUGCAUACAUACCAUGUAUAGGCUAGUCGAUCUAUACCAUGGCAUUGGUUCAAUAGCCAUGUUUUUGGUGGCUCCAACCCUAGUCACAAUAGCUCGGGACAGCUGGAGUGUUGUUAAAAAUGCAAGAGUGGUGCUUGGGUUGUUUAGCAUCGUUGGAUAUGGGUUUGCCCCACGGGUUUCUAACGGUAGGCGGCAGCUAGUGACAUCCCUGUCCGUCCUUCGUAAUCCCCCCACAUUCAGGUACGCCAUAAAUGUUCGUAAAUUAGCAGUAACUACGCCGGUACACCUGUAGGGUAUUGUCUCCCUGUAGUACCUUGGUGCAUAGAACUAAGUCCUAUACACUGUGUGUGUAUGUUUACGCUGAUAUGAUCUGUGCAGUAUAUAGGAUGUAUAUAUGAACCUAGAGCUAACUCCUAGUCCGUUCUCCAUAGCUUAGUUAUCUUGAGAUGAUUCUUCUGUAUGUGUAACACUACCCAUCUUAUCAUUAUCCUUGAUCCUGUCUUGUGUAAUAUAUCUACUCAUCCUAUGAUAUACUCAUAUGCAUAGUAAACUAUUUUGACCUACCCGCCUUCCUUUGGGAAAUAUGAUACCUUGGAAUAAUCCUAGGUGAAAUCCUACAACGGUAUAUCCAUGUAAAUGCGGAUUUAUUCAUGACCAUUAAAUAUACCAACAAUCAUCACUGUGAGUUUUGGGCGUCGUUAGUGAAGGGUUGGUAGUGAUGGGCAUCCCCUUCACCAAUGGACCUGGAACCGGCGGUGAUGGCUAUUAUAAAAAAGGGGACACCACCCAGCGUACCCCACGACCCGGCCGGCCGCACCUCCCAUCAUCCCCGCCAGCCGCCCUUCCUUUUCGCCGGCCGAGCAUGGUCCCGGCCUUUGUCCCUACCACCUCGCCUCCACCGCGACCCCCCGCCGAUGCCCUCGUGCCUGGCCCCCCUCAUCUUGCCGGCCACCCUCCCGAUGCGUCCACUGGGGCCCUCGCACCACCAACCGCCCUUGCUUAGAGAGGGAGAGAGAGGAGGGAGGUGAGGCCACGCACCUCGUCCUACACCGCCGCUGUUUCUCCUCGGCCCACCGCGCCUCACCCCACACCACAGCCGCGCCUUGCCAUCUUACCGGCUGUGACGCCUCAUCUCACCGGCCACCGUUCCUCACCCCCACUUCGGUCGUCGCCGCUCCUUGCCCUACCGCUGCUCUUUGCCGCUGCGAAUGAGCGCCGAGUGGAGGAGGAGGGAUGGGGCAGGAGGAGGGCAAGAUCCGGGAGGAAGGGAGAGAUCUCGGGAGGUGGAGAUGGAAGGAUAUGGCGGAAGGGAGAGAUCCAGAGGGAGAGAGCAGGGGAGAGAGGGGGGCGUGUGGGGAGAGAGCGCGUGUGGGGUGGGGCCGGGCUGGUGGGAUGGAAGGGAGAGGGGCUAGACGGGCGCAGUGCAUUCAACUGGAUGAAGUAAAUAUUUUGGAUUCGAGACCCCAGCUUUAUUAUCACCGCUGGUCCGUAGUACCAUCCGGUGCCUGCUCGUAAUUUAAUUUGAAUCUGCGGUGAUGUUUUAUUAUCACCAUCGGAUCAUAUAAAAAUCCGGCGGUUAAAAAUCCGCUGGUUUCGAUGAAAACCGACGGUGAUAGGAUGACUGUGAUAGUCUCUUCUCUAGUAGUGGUAUAUUAGUACCGGCUGCCGGAUGGUGUUGCCGACCAGUACUUCUCCGGGGGCGAUUCAGUACUGCUGUUAGCAAAGCUUGUUCUCUAUGAAUUUGGGGAUGGAAAGCUAGUUCUCUAGUUGUGAUUUGUUACAUAUAUAUCUAUGAUAGUCUAGAAAUUGCAUGUCCUUCGUUGACAUAGUUGAAGCUGCUUCAAGAAUUUACUUCGUGCAGUCGUGCAGCAUAUUGGAUUAUCACCUAGACAGGAUACAUAGGUGAAGCAUUGGAUGUGAUUGUGGCCGAUAAUUAUGCAGGACGCUGUUGCAAUCAACCACCAAGAAGUCUGGAGUGAUGGGGUUGCCUCAUCAAUAAUUUUUAUAUAUGGCUGCAGUAUUAUUAAGCCCACGUCAAUAAUUUUUUGUCCGCACCAUAUAUCGAUGGGGUUGCCUCAUCAAUAAUUCGCGCAACCAGACAAGCUGCAGACUCAAUAUGGUACGAAGCUAGUUGCUCAGCCCACAUGCUCUGAUAUAACAUUGACAUCUGCUGAUCUACAGUAUAUAUGACCAGAAAUAUUGUGCCCACCUCAAUAACUUUCUGAAGUAUCGUGGGGAAGAACCUACGCGUACUAUGCCUCGGAACUAACUGACAUAUCGGCCCAGGCGGUCUAGGCCGAUUGGACUGGCUCUUCCUUGUGGCUUCUCACAUCCCCUUCGUCCCCAAGUAAUUUCAGGUGUUCUGUAGUUUUCUUUUCACUUGCAUCUGAGCCUCCUAUAUCAAUAGCUUCGGGAUAAGAAUGCCUCUUGAUAACCUUCCAAAUCCUCGCUUGAUUCACAUUGAUUCCGAAAUCAUCUUGCCAUAUCUUCAGAGACUUAGGUCCUAAGGCAUCAUGGAGGAUUGCUCGCCAAGAAUGAGCACCAUUGGGCUCCUGAGGACCCUAGGCCGAUCAGCCCGGGCUCUAUAGGUCGAUUGGCCCAGGCCCUCUCUGGGCCUGUUGGCCUUCAUCUUUCUUUGAGUCGACGCUUAUUCAGGGCUUUGUCCAAUUAUAGUCCAUUAUAGUCUAAUUUCCUAAAAAACAGAAUGUCCUCCAAAAUACAAUGCAUAUGUGAAAACAACCCAAUUAUUAGGUAUGAUCAAUAGUUUAGGUAUUAAAUUAAUAUUAUUAUUUAAGAUAAACAGGGGUAAAGGGUGUCAUUAAUAACAAGCGCCAACAAGCGUCCUAGCUGUUCAAUAAAUUUUUUCUAGUACCGAUUGGUAACACUAACCGGUGCUAAUAUGUACCCUUUAUUACCGGUUAUUUUACCAGGUACUAAAGGAGACAAGAGCAUCCUAACAUAAGGUUAAUAUCAUCCAUUUCAUGAGUAAAAUACUAUGAUUCAAAAAUAAUUCAAAUCCCUUAAGACAAUACCUAUCAAAUGAGUAAAUUGUAAAUAGAGUAAUCUUGAUCAAACAAUGUCCUAAUGAAACGGAACACUUCUGGUUCGUGUAGAGCACAAUAUAGAAAACAGUAGGGUAGCUGUAUGAUUGACACGUGGUCCAUUAAUUAUUGAGCCAACACUAUGGACAUGUCUUCAUGAGUAGUGUACUAGUCAUAAUACAUGGUAUGCAGUAGGUGGAGGUAUUGACUUAGCCAUGCUAUGAGCACUUAGUUACAACAAACACUUUGCCAUUAUCGAGCAUCCCAAAUCACUACAAAAUCCAUAGUUUACCAUAUACUACAAAAUCUGAGUUAAAAUAAGAGCAUACACGGAAGAGUCCGAAUGCACGGCACAUUGAAUUACUAGACAAAAUUUAUGGGACAAGGUUUUGGGUAACCGCAUGAAAAAUAUUGGAUUUUACUGAACACUUAGUUACAAUUACCAUGCCCGUGAGCACUUAGUCACCACAAACAUUUAACCACUUUAGAUCAUCCUGAAUCCCUAUAAAUUCUAUACCUUACACCGUACCAUGAAAACGACAAGAACAGAGACAGAUGCGGUGAAAAUCUCCAGAGCAAGCCUGAAAUUAAAAUAAGAGGAGGCAGUCACUAUCGACAGGACACGGAGAUUGCUAGCCAUGACAGAGGAAGACAUGAUAUGAUAUUCACCUCUGAAAUGCAGCGUAGACUAAAUGAAGCACAAUUGCAAGUGAGUGUGGCAGAUAAUGGACCAUCGAGACCAUCGAAUGGUAUGAAGCAUGAUUAUCACCUAGACAUGAUAUCCUAGACAGGACGGUGAAUUGUAAAAAGAGUAAUCUUGAUCAAAGAAUGUCCUAAUGAAACGGAACAUUUUUGGUACGUGUAGAGCAAAAUAUAGAAAACAGUAGAGUAGUUGUACGAUUGAAACUGCAUCCAUCGACGUGGUGCAUGAAUUGUUGAGCCAACACUGUGGACAUGUCUUCAUGAACACCAUCUAGUGAGGACAGCAUGCAGAAAAAUAUAAAAACAUGUCAUAGGGAGGCAGACCAAUCUUGCGAGGUAGACGAAACGUGAUACACGAUCUGCCUACCUUGUCGUGUGGAUACCCCAAGUGAAGAUGUCAUAGAGGUGCAGACCAAGCUAGCAAGGAGGUAGAUGAAACGUGAUACACGGCCUGCCUACCUUGCCGUGGAUAUUAGUCCUGAUAUCAUUCUAUUGUUCAAGGAAUAACACUCAAUGCUGCUGCUGCUGCUGACCUGGCUCCAUAAAGUUAUAUUCCUCUAGCCGCUUGCACUAACUUUAUCUGAAGUAUUAUUCUCUCUGCACUGUAUAUAUGGUUACGGAGUUUGCUGGAGUAUCCGGGGGGAAGAACCUACAUAAUAUGUCUUGGAACUAACUGACAUUGAUUCACAGACAAGGUGCUGUUGUUGACAUGGUACAGUAAAUAAUAUAGUUUACCAUAUACCGUAUACCAUUAUAUGUUAGCUAAAAUAAGAGCAUAACAUGUCGCAGGAGUCCAAAAGCACCGGUUGAGGACCAGGUACAUUAAAUUACUAGAAAACAAAAGGGGACAAGGUUUAGGUAGCCACAUGAAAAACAUUUGAAUUUACUGUACCAUGAACACUUAGUUACCAUGCCGGGAGCACCUAGUUAACACUAACAUUUAGCCACUUUAGAUCAUCCCGAAACACCAAUGACCCUCAAUAGCGACAAAUUUUGGUUUAAAUGCCGUCACCAAUGAUCCUCAAUAGUGACGUGUUUAGGUUUAAAUCCCAUCACUAAUAACCCUUGGUAGUGACGUGUUUUGGUUUAAAUCUCAUCACCACUGAUCCUCACUAGUGACGUGUUUUUAGCAACACACGUUAUGAAUGACUUGUCAUUGGUGACAUGUUAAACGCGUUAUCUCAAUGGCAAAUCAAUGGUGACGUGUUUAAAAAAACAUGUCACUGUGAGAGUUAUUGGUGAAGGGUAAUUAAAAUGCAUCACUAAUUUUGUAGCAUUAGUUAUGAUAUAAUUUUGUAACGCAAAAAUCUACCAUAGUAAUGAGGUUUAGAGCCAUCACUAAUGUGGGUUUCUUAUCGUAGUGAUGCAAGCUCUACAAGGUGCUGUUGUUGCCAUUUUAAAGCAUCCCAAAUGACUACAAGAGUCCGGUUGAGGACUAAACAAAUUGAAUUACUAGAACCAAAUGUAUGUCCAGAACAAAGAAAGGGGUCAAGGUUUGGGUAACCGCAUUAAAAACAUUGAAUUUUACUGUACCAUGAACACUUAGUUACCAUUACCAUGCCUUGAGCACCUAGUUACCACAAACAUUAAUUUAGCCACUUUAGAGGUUCCACAAUCACUAUAAAUAAUAUACCAACACCGUACCAUGAAAACAUCAAGAAGAGAGACGGGUACAUGGACCACCAUCAAGUGAGUAGUGACAGCACGCACAAGAAUACCCGGAACCUUUUAGCUUGUCUGUAGUGAUCUGUUUUCUUCGCCACAAAUAAUGAAAGAGGCUGACCAAGCUAGCAACGAGGUAGAGCAAACGUGAUACACGUAGGUUUCAUUCAAGACAUCCAUGUAAGAUUCAUUCAAAACAUUCAUGGAAAUUUCUUGUAAGUUUUCAUGUAAAUUUCAUUCAAGACAUUUGUUAGAGGUGUUGUAUAUACACUUAACGUACAUAUAUCUAUGAUUUCAUGGUUGUUAGUGAUGGCAGAUGAGGAGCAUGCAAGGUGUUUAAUGGAGCAGAUUAUUGCUAGUGGUAGUGGCUCCAACCUGCCCGUAACGUACACCGACGAAGAGGGCAGCCAGGCGGACAUGUUCCUCAACAUGUCCGGUGAUGGCAAUGAAGAGCCCGAGCAAAACCUUGCCGUGACGGAAGGUUCCAUCGAGGUAUAUAUCAUUUCCAUUAUUUUACCCCAUCUAUAAUUUCAUAUUCAUUAUUACUAUGUGCUAAUUAAUGAAUCUUGAACCGUUAGUCCUCUAGAUCAACGAACCGAAAUAAGCCCCGAGGUCUUACAAAGAUAAUGCAGGGAAGGCUUCACAUCAUGGAAGUCACAGAAGAGGGCACAUCGGUUGCUCCCGAACAUGUGGCAAGAAAGUACGUGAGUCAAACCGGGGCAAUCGUAAGGGACAACAUGCCCAUCAGCAUCAGGGAAUGAAAGAGCAAUAGAAAUGAUCUAUACGCACCCCCGGAUACACAAAAGGAUAUGUUGUGGGCAAAUAUCAAGAAACACUUCACAUUUCCCAAAGGAUAUGUUGAAAAAUAUGUGAAAGCGUGGAUGUUGAAGAAGAUGGCCACCCAAUUCCAGACAUUCAAGAAGAUGUUGGAUGCCAACUUCAUCAAGAAGGGUCGAACUCCGGGUUUCAAUGAGUGGCCAAAGUUAAGGGACCACUGGGAGUCGUUUGUCGAAUACAAGACGAGCGAAGGUGGUGCGAGUAAGGUUCACAUCAAUGUUGCCAAUGCUAGCAAGGAGUACCAUCAUCAUCUAGGGCGACGUGGUUACAGCUCUGCAAUUCCCAGAUGGCGCAAGAUGGAACAAGACCUGAUCGAUCGGGGUAUCGUACCAGCAACUCUUGACUGGAUCGAUUGAAAAAUUGGUAUUAUGCUCAUGAAGGCAAUCUGAGCCAAGAGGAUCCGACAUUGGUCUUCAAUAAAACAAUACGUCAGAAGGUCGGAAGGCUUAUUAGGAACAUUGAAGAUGCUAAAGCUGGGAGGUUCAAGGUGGAUAGAGAGAAUGAUGAACUCACAUUGGCCCUCGGGACUGUCAUCUCUAGCACUUCCAGCUCCAGGACUAUCGUCACCACCGGGACCGUCGCUUCCUGCUCGAUCACAGUCUCCAUCUCCAGCACAUCCUGGUGGUGCGAGCGACGACGACAACAACACCCCUCCCUGCCCACCAUUGCCGGGACUAAGACCCGCAUUGAGUAAGGAACCUGCAACACCACUGAAGAAGUCGCGACCACCACCUUCAAGGCAAGUCAGCAAAAGAAGAAAGCAGAGAAGCCUAAACCCACUGAGAAGCCAGCGACUGAUAUGACCGAUGCGGAAAGAUGGAAGGCACUCAAAGAAGAAUGCAGGGAGUGGUUCAGCGAAGGCGAAGGUGAGAAAGUCGUAUGAAUCGAAUUCAAGGAUAUAUAUGAAGUGAACCAUCAGGAUGCCCUUGAUGUCUCUCUCAUCAGCGCCUAGGUUCUGUAAGUGUAUGUUUAUCUAUAAGUAAAUUUUGGCUCAUAUCAUUAUUUUUUUUGCGUGCGUCACCCUACUAACUUCGUCUUCCAUUUUAUGUAGGAUGCUAAUUCAGACGUGCCGCAUAGAAGCGUACUUCCAUGUUGGAUUCAUGGAUCCAUCCCUAGUUAACCAAAAGCCGAUACGGAAGUAGCUAGAGAAAACGUUGGAGGUGGUGUACAACCUCCUGGACAAACUAAACUACAGAAUAGGGGCAAUAUGUGAGGGUCUUGUAGGAUUCCUAGUGGACGAGGUGAUAAAUCCAUAAGGAGAAUAUCAUUCCAACGGACGAGCAUUAGACACACUGAGCAACACCUAGAUGGGAGGAUCCUAGGAAUGACCUCGACAGAUUUUGGUAUAAAUAGUAAUUGUGUAAAUACUAGUUUGAUUUGUAUAGGAAUAUACUAAGAAUUGUAUAUAUAGUAAUUGUACAAAUACUAGUUUGAUUUGUAUGAAUACUAGAUUGAUUUUAUUAUAAAAAAGUUUUAAGUCGUACGUGCAUGCGCCUACAAAGGCGCGGAUGCCUUUUAAUCCCAGUCGGAAAAACAAACUGGUACUAAAGGGGCUCGUGCCGCACCUGGCAUGACCACCCCUUUAGUCCCGGUUGAACGACCCAGGACUAAAGAUCUCCGCGUCUCAAAAAUUUUAUCUCGGAUGCUUUUUAGAGAGAUUUGAGGCCUAUCAACCAAGACUAAUAUCGAGUUUUCUACCAGUGAAACUAACUAACGUUCACAUGGUUUUGACAUUCACCUGCCAUUUGGUGUAGACAAGGGCACCCUAACAUAUGGUUAAUAUUAUUCUUGAAAGAAAAUCCUUUGAUUCAAAAUACUUCAAACCUAAUAAUACAAUACUUCUCACAUCUGAAAAAUAUGAGACGGCCCGACAGUAUUCUAAUCGACGCAAUAAUAUUUUGAGGGCAGCACUACUACAGCGACCCUCAUUCGUGCCGGUGCUGGGACUCCUAUCACGACCCUGAUACAAAUGAGGGUACAUUAUUGGUGCCAGUGCUAGAACAGCCACGAAUAACUUGCUAAACGUGCUGUUACACUCACUACAGGGACCAAGAAGGUAGAUAAAUUACACGACAUAGCCUUGGUUGCCGUGGAAGCGCCAAGAAGGGAGACAAAUUACAGGGACCACACCAUCAAGUAGAUAGUGACAAUAUGCAAAAGAAUACCCGCGCCUGUUAGCAUGUGAACUGACCACACCACGAAACGUGAUACACGGCAAGCGUACCAAGGCCUUGCUGUGCAGACUAUGCAUGGACAACACAUGGUACCUGACCGCUUUUGGCCUCAGACACAUCGAAAAACUGCAUCGUUCCACGUUGUACAUCCAUUGCUAGUUUAUCUAUAUUACAUAAUAUAUUAUUAGCUAUUUGAAUAGAAUGAACCAAUUAAAAAAUUGCGUUGUAUUUUUAGUACCGGCUGCAGGAUGGUGUUACCAACCAGUACUAAUUGGCCUGUAGGAGUGAUGGUUAUUAGACUUGGUACUGUUGUUAGCAUCAUUAACCUAAUUGUGCGCCGUAUGAAUUUGGGGAUGCAAAGCUAGCUCUCUAUGAAUGUGAGGGAUGGAAAGCUAGUUCUCUAGUAGUAAUUAUAUAUAUGACAGUCAAGAAAUCGAACACUAUGCUGCUACGAGUCACCAUCAUUUCCUUCAUUGACAAUCUGACAUAGGUGAAGCUGCUUCAAUAAUUUCCUUCGCGCAGUCGUGGAGCUUAUUGGAUUAUCACCAGGACGGGACACGGAAAUGGCCAGCAAUGAAGCUGAUUGCCGUCUGAGGAAGACUACAUACUUACCUAUGAAAUGAAGCGAUUGCAUAGACUAAUGAAGCAUUGCAUAUUUGCAUGUGAGUGUGGCAGAUAAUUCUGCAGGACAUGAUUGCAAUCCACGCACCAUCGAGAAGACUGGGGCGAUGGGGUUGCCUCAUCAAUAAUCACGUGGAUGCAUGCAUGCAUGUUCCCGCAACCGGACAAGGGUCUGAUAUAUGGCUAUAGUAUUACUGAGCCCACAUCAAUAAUUUCCACUGGUGUAUCGUGUGGGAAGAAUCAACAUACUACACCUCGAGUUCUUGGAACUAACUGACGUUCACAUGCAACCUCCACAAGGUGCUGUAUGCUUUUGACAUUCACCUGCCAGUUCGUGUAGAGAAGGACACCCUAACGUAUAGUUAAUAUUAUCCAUUUCAUGAGUAAAAUACUGUGAUUCAAAAAUACUUCAAAUCCCUUGAGACAAUACUUCUCACUUGACUAACCACUAACCAACCCCGAAACCCUAACUCAACUCCGAACCCUAACCCCUAACGGCAUAACCACUCCGUUUUGCCGGCGAGAUGGAGGAACUGGCUGGAAGGUAGAGAGGGCAGCGGUCCAGGGUUGAAAACGACGGGCGAGCGCAGUAACAUGUGGAGGAGGAAGUGCCACGUAUUCGUUCACCGCUAUUGGGCAGCGACACACGACACGCCCAAUAAGAUCUUCGCACGGUAGAAGGACGUCAUGUAUUCAAUAAUGUUAUUGGUCCCCCAUGUGCAGAAGGGCGCGCGCGUAUGGAAUAACAAGUAGGGACACUGCAACUAAUCUACUCUGCUCGUCCAGUCCCUAGCCUAUAAAUAGAUGCCAUGCUAGCUCUUGUUGUGCUCACAAUUAAUCCGAUUACACACGAGCUUCUCUCCCUGGCCAAGACACAACCAUAGUAUGAUGAAGAACAUGGCACUAGCCGGCAAUGGUAUGAAGAAGUUAAUCCUCGCUGUUCUCUUACUGUGUCUAGUUAUAGGGCAGAUACAAGUGGAAGCUAAGAGCUGCUGCCCAUCCACCACUGCAAGAAAUGUCUACAAUACCUGCCGUUUCACGGGUACAUCCCGUCCAACGUGUGCAAAACUGUCAGGCUGCAAAAUUAUCAGCGGGAACAAAUGCAAGCCCCCUAACGACCACCUCACCCUUGACCCGGACACUGGUAAAUAAUAAAUUUAUCUCACUUGAUUUCUUCGUGAUUUGAGUCGUUAAUGUAUUUUCCAUCUGAUGAAACGUAUUGGUUUUGCAUUGAAGAGGAAGUUAAUGUGCUUAACUUCUGCAAGUUGGGGUGUGCGUCGUCUGUGUGCAACAACAUCAACGCUGGUAAGCAACUUUUGCUCAGACAGAGAAAACAAUAAUCAUUAAUUAGCGGCAGCUAGAAUCCUAUAAUCUAAUAUAUAUAUAUAUAUAUAAUUUUAUCAGCUCUGGGAAAUGAAGAGGCGAACGAUGCCGUUGAGAGUUGCGACCAAGCCUGCUCUAGCUUCUGCAGCGUGCAUGUUGGCAGCGCCACCGUGGUUGCUUAAGCAAAUGCAUCCAACUAGAUCGUCCUUGUGCUGAAUAAUUGGAUAUCGUAUCCACUUAAAGCUGCCUUGUGUAGUACGUCUUUGUGUCUCUCUUUAUAUUCCAAUAAGGUCGGUGAUCUUGAUGCCACACACUCAGAUGUGUGUUCAUCUCCAGAUACUACUCCAUGCUACCUGCCCUUUGUGUUUUGUUCAAUAACUGGGUAUCAUAUCCCAGCCAGUAUGCCGUCUGUUUUGUGUUUGUUUCCUUCUAGUUCCAAAGGGGUCAUCAUGAUGUUACCUUCUUUCAAUAUGGUGCUUUGCAUGACUACUGUUGUAUGGUACCAUCUUGUGGCCAAUAAGUACAUCUUAUCCUAUGACCUUUGCUAUGACCCUUUGCAAAUAAGUAGAAGAUUGUUAUAAGCGUCAAUACUCCGUAUAAAUUGAUCGCUGCUGUGAGUUCCCUUUCAGCUUAUCGUAGGCAUACAUUAUUGCUAGCACGGUAAAGCCAACCAACACGAAUGAUGAAGUAAACGUAGCGGUACUUCUGUAUACCAACACCCUUACUUAAAUGUACCGGUGUCAUUCCCUACUGGCACAUAUAUUCUUAUAUGCUAGCCAGCUUGUAAAAUUAACCAAUUAAAAUAAUUAUUUCAAGAUAGAAAUAACUUAUCGGUUUCUGGAAGCAUGUGUAAUGUGAAUUCAAGGACUCGACGGAAGUUGAAUCACUUCAUCUAUAUUGCUUUCAGUAUUUUGGGUAACUAAAUUUAACAUUUGCACAUACAAAUGUUAAAGUACAAAUGUUAAAUCUAGUUACCCAAGCAGAAUAUGAAGAUAGUUUAUAGUAUAUAUAUACUAUAUAAAUCUAGUUAACAUUUAGUCUAAAUGUUAAAUCUAGUUACCUAAAAUCCUGAAAGCAAAAUGUAUAAAUAUAUAUCUUUUAAGGCAGUAUAAGCUUCGAUUCCUAUUGCUGCUCUGUUAAAUCUCAUCUUUCGUUGUGGCCCAACACUCUAGUAUGCAUGUUGCACCAAGCUUCUUUGAGCCGCUCUGCCCUCUGAUUUUGCUGCGUAGGGGAAUCUUUAUCAGGUUGGGCUACUUCCAGUUGUGCGAUGUAAAGAUUCGUAUUUUCUAGAAGGUAGACAAAAAACUCGCGUUCUCUUAAGGCAACAACCGGAAGAUUCUGCAGCGCACAGGGCAUACCAUUAUUGUAGAAACGACCUUUAGUACCGAUCUCCAACCCCCUUUAAAACUGGUUUUGCAACCGGUACCGUUAUGUCGGUCCUUUAGUACCAGAUCAAAUAAGUACCGGUUGGUAACCAGUAUCAACUUGUUUUGCGGCCAAAAAAAUAAAGAAAAAAACAGUCAGAAGGCUCGCACACACGCGCAUCACAUGAAAUAUGCGUGUGCGGGGUCCAUGGGAUUCGAACCCAUGAAAUCAAGCUGCACGCGACCCUUCGUUACCAUCUCACCUACAUAGCGCAUAUGCUUUCCUGAAGUAACCCGUGGAGGAGGCUUUAGUACCGGGUCAUAACACCACCCGGUACUAAAAAUGACUCUUCAGUACCGGGUCAUAACACCACCUGAUACUAGUAUCGGAUGGUGUAAUGACCCGAUACUAAAAGGCCUCUAGGGACCCUCAAAUUUGAACCCGGUACUAAUGCUAAUAUUAGUAGCGGGUCAAAGUGCAGCCAGAACUAAAGCAUGGGAUGAAAGGUCAUAUUUCUAGUAGUGUAUAGUUGUUGUGAAGGACUGACUUGGCUGUCCUCUCUCUUCUCCAUCCCCUUGGUCUUACGCCGCCGCUCGCACGCGAGCCGGUGCCCAACCAGAGGAGUGAGAGCUAGGGGCAGGUUGGGAGGUGGGGAUAGUGACUGGUGGCCAGGGUGAUGGUUGAUCCUGGUGGGGUUAGGGUUUCAGGGUUUUCGAGCUUCCUAUGGUCGGCGAACCUAGAGGAGAAGCUCAACAUCAGCUGCAACCCGCGAUGGUGGUGGUUUGGCCGGCGCCCGAGGCGAGGCAGCGCGGGAGUGCUGCCGGUGGGUUGGUGUUGGCACUCAUUAUUGACAACUAUUUUGUUCAUAAAAUAACACUCAAACUUGCUGCUGCUGCUGCUGCCAUCGCCACCCUAGCCAUAAUAUAAAGGCAAAAUUUGCUAAAGGACAUGCAAAAUGAUGCUAGUUUGCUGGCGGGCAUCGUUGACCUUGUAAUAUGCUACAAGACACUCUAGUUGUGUAUCAAUUUGCUGAAAGACAUUGCUAUGACUAAAAUAAUGUUUCUGGACUGAGUUGGAGAGAGAGAUGGAGUGAAAUGUCUGUUUUGCCCAUGACCCCACUGGUCAGAUCCUUCUUCUUCCACCCUCCUUUGUUCUUUCUUCAACCAUUACCCAGCUCCAGCGUGUUGCAGAUCUACGAGGGUGGCGGCCUGGGGCGAGGGGCAUCGCUCGCCCUUGGAGGAGCGCUGCGAGCGACGGCGCGGGGGCGGCAACAGCGCGUCAGAACCUGACUGUUCGUUAGCUCCUCUCGCUGCUGGGGAAGAAGGAGGGGGAUGGGCCAUGGACGGGGUUCCCUUGAAAACCUCAGCGUCGAGCUCGGGCGGCUACGCGCAGGCAGCACUAGGCUGCUUCACGGGGAGGGGGCGCGGCCAAUCAUUGGCACCCCACUGGUCCAAUGCUGAUGAAGAUGGUGCCAGCGUCGUGUGAGGACAUCUCAUCUCCUCGAGUUCCAUGGCCAGCACAGGUGAGCUGCCGCUACCACAAAACAGAGGUUUCGUGAGAGUCAAAAAACCUUAUGAAAAUAGCUAAAACCAUCAUGAAAAUAAUCCGUGACAUGACACUCUCACGAAAAUCCUCUCACAAAUAUGGUGCCAUGAAAAUACCAUUUUCAUGAGAGUGAACUGUCAUGAUUUUAUAAGCGUCAAUACUCGGUAUAAAUUGACUACUGCUGUGAGUUCCCUUUCAGCUUAUCGUAGGCAUACAUUAUUGCUAGCACGGUAAAGAGAACCAACACGAAUGAUGAAGUAAACGUAGCGGAACUUUUGUAUACCAACACCCUUACGUACCGGUGUCAUUCCCCACUGCCACAUAUAUUCUUAUAUGCUAACCAGCUUUGAAAAUUAAGCGAUUAAAAUAAUUAUUUCAAGAUAGAAAUAACUUAUCGGCUUCUCGAAGCUUGUGUAAUGUGAAUUCAAGGACUCGAUGGAAGUUGAAUCGCUUCAUCUAGAUUGCUUUCAGGAUUUUGGGUAACUAAAUUUAACAUUUGCACACACAAAUGUUAAUGUACAAAUGUUAAAUCUAGUUACCCAAGCAGAAUAUGAAGAUACUCUAUAGUAUAUAUGUACUAUAUAAAUCUAGUAAACAUUUAGUCUAAAUGUUAAAUCUAGUUACCUAAAAUCCUAAAAGCAAAAUGUAUAAAUAUAUAUCUUUUAAGGCAGUAUAAGCUUCAAUUCUCUGUUAAAUCUCAUCUUUCGUUGUGGCCCAACACUCUAGUAUGCAUGUUGCACCAAGCUUCUUUGAGCCGCUCUGCCCUCUGAUUUUGCUGCGUAGGGGAAUCUUUAUCAGGUUGGGCUACUUCCAGUUGUGCGAUGUAAAGCUUCGUAUCUUUUAGAAGGUAGACAAAAUACCCGCGUUCUGGAAGAUUCUGCAACGUGCACGUUGGCGCUGCCACCGUGGUUGCUUAAGCAAAUGCAUCCAACUGAAUCGUCCUUAAGCUGAAUAAUUGGAUAUGGUAUCCACUGCUUAAAGCUGCCAUGUUUAGUACGUCUUUGUUUUUCUCUCUUUAUAUUCCAAUAAGGUCGGUGAUCUUGAUGCCACACACUCAGAUGUGUGUUUAUCUCCAGAUACUACUCCAUGCUACCUACCCUUUGUGUUUUGUUCAAUAACUGGGUAUCAUAUCCUAGCCAGUGUGCCAUCUGUUUUGUGUUUGUUUCCUUCUAGUUCCAAAGGGGUCAUCAUGAUGUUACCUUCUUUUGAGGUGUCUAUGAUGACUUCGUUAAUAUCAAUAUUAACCAAUUCAAUCUGUCUUAACUAUUUGUAAGGGGUAUGAUGUAUGCAUGAUUAUAACAAUGAUUGCGCAUACAAUCGCCGCCAAAGAAACGGUCAAUACCAUUAAGACAUAUUACAGACAAUUCUCAUAAUCUAUAAUGAAUAUACAUAUUCACUACUGCAGAAGACUGUCAUUUGUAUCGGCUCAUACGUGCCAGGGCAAAGGUCACCCUUGCAUUAAGUACAUUUGCACGGUAAAGACAACCAACACGAAUAAUGAAGUAAACAUGCCGGUGCUUUUGUACACCAACACGCUUACUUAAAUGUACUGGUGUCAUUCCUCACCGGUAGCCGGCUUGAAAAUUAACCAAUUAGAACAAUUAUUUAUUGUAUCGGUGUGAUUUUUGACCUAUUGGAAUAUGAAUUUGACCGUUACUGCAUUCGUCAAGACUCAAGAGAGAAAUAACUGAUCGGCUUCUUAGAGCGUGUGCAAUGUGAAAUCAAGGACUGGAUGGAAGUUGAAGCGCUAGCACUAGUAGAGAAACGACUUUCCAUCCACCCCCUUUUGUCCCGGUUUAAAGUUGGCUCGGGAUAAAAGGUUCACCAACCGGGACUAAAACUCAGUCACUGGUGGGAGGCUCACCAACCGGAACCUUUUAUCCCGGUUGCAAAGGCUAAUGGGAAAAAAAGACUCUGAGAGGCCUUUUAUCCCGGUUUGAAACACCAACCGGGAUAAAAGACCCCCCUUUUAUCCCGGUUGGUAACACCAACCGAGAUAAAAGGGUCAAGAGCCUUUUAUCCCGGUUGGAAACACCAACCGGGAUAAAAGACCCCCUUUUAUCCCGGUUGGUGUUUCAAACCGGGAUAAAAGGGCCCCCACGAGGUGACUGGAAGGUGACUGGAAGGGGAUUAAAUCGUGGGGGACCCUUUUAUCCCGGUUGGAAACACCAACCGGGAUAAAAGGGGGUCUUUUAUCCCGGUUGGUGUUUCCAACCGGGAUAAAAGGGUCCCCCACGAGUUAAUACAAAAGGAUAGUAUCCCCUACAUAGUCAGAUGUGGUGUGUAGGUGGGAUGGUAAGGAAGCUACGCGCGAGCUCCGGAAUUUUUUUUUUUUUUUUUUGCAGCGUCGGCGCUCUCUACCCUUUUAUCCCGGUUGGUAUUACCAACCGGGAUAAAAGGGGGUCUUUUGUCCCGGUUGAGUGACCCGGGAUAAAAGACCCCCCCUUUUUUCCCCGGUUAGUUUAUCCCGGAUGCAUUUUCGGGAUAAAAGCACCCUACCAACCGGGAUUAAAGCUCACUUCUCUACCAGUGUAGCUUCAUCUUCCGCUGCAAGUUAAUUGCUUGGAUAAGAAGUUGUAGCCGCUGCAAGUUAUAAAUAGUCCCGCUGAUGCUGUGCUCCGAAGUCUAUACUAUAUAUGCGGAAACUAGAUUGCUUUCAGGAUUUUGGGUAACUAAAUUUAACAUUUGUACAUAAAAAUGUUAGUUUACGAAUGUUAAAUCUAGUUACCCAAGCAGAACAAGAAGAUAGUAUAUAGUAUAUACUAUAUAAAUCAAGUUAACAAUUAGUCUAAAUGUUAUAUCUACUUACCCAAAAUAUUGAAAGCAAAGAAAGAAUAAGUAUAUAUCUUUUGUUGGAAAAUUGGUCCACGGAGAGGCCCAUUUAGGCCUCGUUCGUUUCACCGGGAUGGGAUUCCAGUCAGGAUUACUUCCAAGUUCGGUUUGAGUGAUUCCACCCGUGUCACUCAAUCCGGCUAGGAUUCAUUCUAUGGGUGAGGAGGUAUGGUUUCAAUCCAGGCCAUCUAAUGUAGAAGGAUUCCAAUCCAGGCCGGUUUUCGUUCCAGGCCAGACUAAAACGAACAACACUUUCAAUGCAAGUCUGGUUUCAAACCGGGCCAUUUCAAACCACCCGGAAUGGACCUCGUUCCAGGCCAAUCCGGUGAAAACAAAUGAGGCCUUAAUGGAAUCCCAAAGCAAGAGUUCAGUGGCAUUCUAUAGUCCCAUGCUGCUAGUUUGAGUUGGUCGAAGCCAACUUAAAUAGGAGAGCUCUCUCACUUCUCUAAAUACGUAACUGAAGGAGAGAAGGGGGCUUGGGUUACACAACGCACGCACGCACGCAUAUUUGCGUUCUUUUCGCGUAACCAACCGCGUGACUUGAAACUUGCGACGUAGCGUGCUGCUAAGUCAAGUUGAUAUAACCUUUUUGCCGUUUGCAUGUAAUCUUUUGACAACGGUCAUUGGAGGUGAUAAGCACGCAGUCAAUACCUUAAUCUUGAGUUAAUAGGGUGGUUACUACUGCCAAUUAGUGGGGCAAUUUUGUAGGGGAAACGGUUAGCAGAGGGCUACCGUCUUCUCUAUAAGAAGUUCUGGAGACGUCCAGGAACACACAUGUACAUGUGAGAGACCCACAAAUUCCUUCCCUUCUCCCUUUUCCAUGUGGUGAAGUGUGCUGUGGUACUGAGCUGCUUGAUCUCGCCGCUCUUCUCCUUGGCAUGCACCGAGGAGGAGGGUGAGCGGUAUCUCCGAGCUAUUGCCGUCAGGAAGCCUGCACGAGGGACAACAAAAAGUUUUUGGGUAGCGCAACUGCCAGCACAACUCUCCCUCCGCCUCUUCUUCACGGUUGAUGGCCACCACAAGCAUAAACCUCGCCUUCGCAUCCACGCAAAAGGGUCGCUGGGGUGCCUUCUUGCAUCGCUUCUCAGCCUCCUUGACUUGCGGCCAGCCAAGAACUGCGCCACCACCUCGGGUGCACGCCACCACUCCAGGGCUGCUACCCCAUGCCUGCGGCCGCCGCCGGCCACCACGCGUGUGCAACCGCGUCGCACCGCUUCCUUGCUUUGUGCCACCACUGCUGCUGUACCACCAGCUCCACCACCUUGGGCUGGUCGCCAGAGUGACUGAUAACUUAUUAUCUGUAACUACUAUUAACUCAGGGAUACAUGCGUCUUUUGCUUCUCCUACUAAUAUGUCCUAAAAUAUCUAGGAUGCCUUAUAUUUCUGGACAGAGGAAGUAUUUGAAUAAAAUGAACCAAUUUAAAAAAAUGUGUUGUACACUACUACAGAAAGACCUAUCAGUGUCAAACCCAAAAAUGUUGUCACCGCCAGUUUUGGGCAUCAUUGGUGAAAGGUUGGCGGUGAUGGGCUUUCCCUUCAACAACGGCACUGGAGCCGACGGUGAUUGACAUUAGAAAACAAAAAAGGGGACCCUACCUAGCCACCCCUGCAACCCGGCCGGCCGUGCCUCCCCUCAUCCCCACCACCUCGCCUCCCCAUGACCCCCCGCCGGCGCCCUUGCGCCUAGCCCCCUCAACUGCCCAGCCGGCCACCCUCAUCACGAGAGAGAGGUGCAUGUUGUAUAAUUGCGUGAAUUUUUUAAUGUUUAAUUUCAUGUAAGUUCCGUGUAAUAAAUUGUACAAGUUUUAUUGUAUAUAUGAAUUCCAUAUAUAUAUAUAUAUAUUUAUAAUUUAAUGUAUGGUUUCAUGUGUAUAUUUCAAUCAUGUGUAUAUUUAGUAGAUUGCCGAUUUUCUUUUUCUACUAGACAAGGGUUGAUGUAUAAUUACGUGUAUAUGUUUAUUGUACGGGCAAUUAGGACAAGUUUUGUAUAAAUUUCUUUUAUUUGAUGGUUGUUGUAUGGUUUCAUGUAUAUACAUUUAUUGUACUACUUUAGACAAUUUUUAAUUUAAUGUUUCUAUGAUUAGAUGUGUGUAUAACUAAUUGUAUUAUUAGUUAAGAUGGGAGCUAAAGAGGAUGAAAGGUAUAUAAUGGAGCAGAUUAUUGCUAGCUCAAACGUUGCAAGAACCUACACCGAGGGUGAGGGUAGCUAGGUGGACAUGUACCUCAACAUGUCCAGUGAUGGCAAUGACGAUGAGGAGCACGAGCAUGACAUCUAUGAUAAUGCGGAACAAGACAUUGCAGAAUUGGAAGGUUCUAAUGAGGUGUGCUUCAUGUUGACAAUCUAGUUGGCUUUUUUUCGUUGGUCACACCUUAGUUACCAUAGAACUUCGUCUCGGGAGAAGAUUGGUGGUGGUAUGGUGAUUGGAAUUUUAUUUCCACGAAAUCUGAUUUCCAUCGAAUCAUAUCCCUUGUAUUUAUCUUCUUUUUAUUUGUGAGAGCAUCUUCUUUAUGCUUGCAAAACAAUUCAAGUGCACAUACUACCCCUAGGGUGACGAUUGGGAGUAGAAAUAAUUGCCAACAAAACAACACCACAUCCUAAGAUUCUUAACUUGUGGCAUAAUUAGUCUAGUAAAAAGAAAGAUAAAAACCUAAUGGGUGUAUGUGAGUGCAAUGUGUAUAUGCAUAUGAGUGGAAGGCAUAUAAGCAAAGACAAUAUUUACACAUAGUUCUAAACACCAUGUUUACAGCUAGGUUGCUGAAUUUCUCCAUAGCCAUAGAGAUUAAUUAACCAAGGUCAAAACACGAUGUCUAUCCCAAGAUCAGUAAUUAUUUAUAGCACAAGAAAAAGAAAGCGCAUUGCAAAGUUUAUAAACCAACCAAUACAGCAUGAAAACAAGAUGAAUAGCUAGCAAGGUUUAUUAAACUGAAUGAUGACGGUCUGUAAGCAAGUUUAAACACCAUCUUUACACAAGAUUGCAAAUGGAAAAUGCCCAUAUGAAGCACUAACAUGGAUAUGAAAUCAUUCAUCAUAAAGCGUAAAGAACAACCAAGCCAACCAUAUGCAAAGCAUGAAUGGAAUGCAAUGAAGGUGCAAGAGAACAUUUUUGGAUGAACACAUUAUGAUGAUGGCAAAAUGCAAUGCAUGCAGAAAAAAUAAAUAUGAACAUGAAUAUGAUGAUCAGGGGCGGACCCACUAUUGUGGCCUGGGUAUUCCUCGGCAUACCCAAUAUUUUUGGGAAAAUGUUUAGUAGUUUUUAAUGGCAUAUACAUGUAUAAUAUAGUUUAGGUGUUAAAAUUGAUAUUCACAGCUAUUUUGGGCUCCAAUUCGCGUCCAAACCAACCUGGCCCACAGACCGCACCCGGCCGCCCGGCCCAUCGGCCCAUCUUGUCACUGAUCCUCCCACCACCACACUCAGCCCGUCAGUUAGUCAGGUCCCGAGCUCCUGCCUGACCUAGUCCGCUACCACCGCCAGGCGCCAGGCACAGCUGUACACGCCGCCCCCGUCCACCCACGUCCGCCGCACGGCCGCGUCGCGCCCCCCCCCGGCGCCCGCUGCUGCCAGAACCCAUUAGGCCUCCACCGGCAAGUCCACCCACAGUCCCGCGCGACGCGGCAGCCUCUUGGCUCUCGGCGCUCGCGGCGCGCCAAUGCCUGCGCAGCCCCAGCAGGCGACUGCCCCCCCCCCCCCCGCAUCGGGCCUCGGCCCCUCCCCAGCUCCCCCUCCCCCCUCCACCAGGACUGCCUGCUGGCCCCCACCGCGAGGUAAUCGAAAUGGACUGCUCAAUCUCUCAAUCUGUUGACAUGAUGCACACGGUUGCAAAAAUAGAUGUGUCAAAAUAGAUGUAUUGCCAAUUGCUAUAGAUGCAUAUGGUUGACAUGAAGAAGUCAAAAAUGACAUUUGGUUCCUUGUAGGCAGUCAAAAAUGAAGAAGUCAAACAAUAUUGAUCUGAAAUCAAUGCGGGAAAGGGCUACGAAGACACACGGGUAGAUUCCCUUGUGAACUUUUUAUGUCGUUCGUCUAAAUAUAUUUUUGCAAUGGGCAUACCCUACUCUGAAAUCCUGGGUCCGCCACUGAUGAUGAUGGUCUAAACAUAAAACAAGCCUAGAUUAAUUAGCUACAACUGAAAUUAAGCAAAGGUUAAUGUCAUUGACCCUAGCUCUAUCCUAGCUUUUACUAAAGUCCCGGCACAUAUAGUGGUUGGGCCCACUCUCUCUACUUCCCUCUCUGCUGCAUGCACACACACGAGCAACUGGAGGCCCAACAAAGCCCAGAAGGGUUCGGCCGAACCCGUCCGAUCCAGUCUGAGCGCCGCUCCCUCCCAGCCUUCGCGCAGAUGCUCCUCCAACGUUCCUUGACCCCUCCCUCAGUGUCCCAUUGGGUUUAACAUUGUAGGAGAGGAGUCCCUUUUUUAAAAUCUCAACCACCUCCUCUCCUCAUUCACUCCACUCUCAUCUCCAUCAAACUCACCAAGAUCCACAUCGGAAAUACCUGCUUACCACCAUGGCUGGCAAAGCCCUCGUCCCUUUCACCAACUUGGGCUUGACCAUUGAUCUCGAUGGGAAAAUCACUCCAGCAAAUGUCAUUGUCCCUGUCGGCGAUCUGGCGAUGGAGGAGGUCCAGGCACUAGAGGUCGAGCCCCUAGCCAUCAUACCGCCCAAGGGGUAAAGCAGGAGCAUGACAGGCGCUGCUAGGGGUUCAGCCGAACUCCCAGUUCAGCCAAACGAGGACGGCGUCGCCUCGGCCUCCCGCUCGACUGCAUGCUUCCCCUUGCCAAGGAGGACUCCAGAACAGCGGGCGCGUGCGUCAAGUCCCUACAAAAGGCUGAAAUACAAUGAAUAUCCAGGGUCACCCUUGAAGAUGGGUGAACGCUACGCCGGGUCCUUGUUUGACUAGUACGGCGAUGCAUUCUGCCACCGCUAUGUCGUUGUCGAGAUUAGCGGAUCAAGACUUAGACUAGUAAAUUUCUUUUAUGCGCGUAAGGCUUCAGAUGGUGGCGUGGGAGACAUGGGUUUUAUACUAGUUCGGGCAAUGGAAUACCCUACGUCCAGUGUCUGGAGCUGCUUGUGUUGCCCACGCGGGGUUCUGUAGUAGGGGUUACAGGUGUGCGAGAGAGGGAGCUAAUCCCAGGUCUCUUAGGCGUGUUCCGGUCCUCUAGAUGGGAGAAGUGUGUUCUGUUUGCUUGGGAGUAUCGGUUGUGUCUGAGUUGUCUCCGGAGCCUCCUCCCGUCUCAGGUCCCCGAUUCUCCUUUCAUAGCACAAGGAGACCAUCGGGGUUACAGACGAGACCGAGCGUGGGGAGGAGUAAAGAGAUAAACAUAGCUAGGUAAAAAUACAACAAGAAAGGGGGGAACCAAGUUUCUAGGUCACCGGCGUCCUCGCCGGCCUUCGACUUCCGCCGGCGCAUUUGUCGGAGGAGGGUGGCCGCCAUCGCGUUCUGUCGAUGGCUUCCUCGGUGACUGUAGCCACCGGGCGUGAUGAUGGCAUUUCGUCGUGACCCUUUGUCUGUUGGGGGAGGCGGCGGAUCCUGCCAUUCUGCUGACGGCUCGCGGAGUGCGAACGUCGCAUCCCUGCCGCUGGGCACGCGGGGCGCGAGAACGUGCGAGGCUUCCCCCUACCCCAGGCGGCGCAGGCCAUGAGUGCCCUGUGGCAAAUCGGAGGAGGCCGCAGCUACUGUAGCUUGUACUGUGCAGCCACGUAUGGGUACUUGUGGCAGGUUGCGUGGUGGAUGCGGAUAUCCUUCUCCCUGACAGAUCUGCGGCGCAUUUAUGGCGAGAUCGACAUGGGGACCCACAAGACCCGCGCCCAAGGCGGAUACUUGUCUGGAGGGCCCGGGUUAGCCUGACCCCCUACGCUUGGGGUCGGGCGAGGCGGAGACUUGCGGCGGGGCGUCGGACGCUCCCGACACUAGACCUGCGGUCGCGCAAGGCGGAGCUUGGUCUUCCGGGGGUCGGGGGUGCCGGACCCCAGGAUGCGGGGUCGGGCGAGGUGGAGCGUAAUUCUUGCCUCCCAUGUUGGGCCGAUGGCAGUCUUUGUUACCUCUAGUGGGCUUGGGCCUUUAUGUUUUGUUGUUUCCAUGGGCUUCGAGAGGUCGUUAAUAUUUCCCCCCAACAGUAGCCCCCGAGCCUGUGGUGGAGUGGGGGCGCUCCUCCGGAGGCUACUAUCAUCGCCCCUAGGGAAUCCUCGCAGUUGAUCCGGGAUAGGAGGUGUUGUUUGCACGGCUUGACCGAGGGGGUCGAUUAGGCGACGCAUCCUGUGAGCGACUCGGUGCGGGAGGGUUUCUUGUUGUUCCCUUCUGUCUGAGAGCCUUAAGUCGAGACCACCUGCGUGGCCUUUGGUUGCAAGGCCAGCCCCCGAGCCCCCGCACGUUGCAGGGGACCGGUCGGAGGCUAGGUCGACUUUUGUUCAUUACCCUCAAGCGUCUGUUCGCUAGGACGGAGGGGGCGAGCCGUGCCAUGCUAUCCUCAUCGGACGAACCAUGGUGCUCAUUGAGUUACUAACGGGUUGAUUCGAGUGGGAUCCCGGUCCCCGUUCGGGGGGGGUCCGGCUUGGGCCAAGCUGGUGGCGUACCCCAGGCUCCGGUCGGCCAGUUCAUAUAGUUCCUGAGUCCGUUCGGUCGGACCGGGGGCUCAUUGCCUUUCUUCGGGGAAAAACCAUGAACUUUGAUGCCGGUCCAGACUCGAAUGUGAGAUUGAGACGCCCGGGGCUGUCGCGUGCCCGGGUGAUGGCCGCUAGCGGACCCGUCUCCUCUCACCCCUCACUCGGGGGUAUCCUGAGGCGGCUGUCGAACCCGUGGCGGGCCAGCCUUCGAACCUCUGGAUCGUAAUGGGCCGUAGGGGCGUUUUCAGCCCCGUAUCCCUUUUUACCUUUUGGUGGGCCUUGGGCCGAAUCAUGGAGGAGGUCGGGCCUUGGGCCGGAUGCGGAGGAUGUCGUGCCUUGGGCCGGAUGUGGGGGACGUCGUGCGUGUCUUCCGGGAGACGAAGUGGUGGAGGGUGCCAACCCGCGAAUCGAGGGAGGAGGGGAUGUUUCUACUGCAGGUCAUGCGCACGGUUUCCGAAAAGGCAGCGGGCGUGACGGGACGUACCUCGCGCCGCAUUUAUUGCGAUGGGGGCGUCUGUUCUGCUUCCCUCGUGCCUUCCCUAUAAAACGAGGACUUCGCCUCGCCGGUUCCGCCCGCCAUCUACCUUCAAGCCUUUUCGCCUCCUCGCGCGCCCUUAGCUUUCCUGUGCCCGCUUCGUCUUCCUCCGCCCAGUGCCGCGCCCUUUCUCCCCAUCCGCCGUCGAGUUCUUCUCCCUCCGGCGAUGGGAUCCUGGGCGCGUUCCCACUUCGGCCCCUCACGCGCCGAAGGCCUAGUGAGGAAAGGCCUCCUUUGCGAGAGGACGGAGACGGAUGAGUGGGGGUUCCCUGAGAUGGAAGAGGUGCCGACUCCGCCCACCGGCUACGUCGUUUCCUUUGCCCACUUCCACGAGAGGGGGUUUGCGACUCCGCCGAGCCUCUUCUUCCGCGGGCUUUUGUAUUACUACGGGCUUGAGCUGCAGCACCUCAACCCCAACGGGAUUCAGCACGUCGCGGCGUUCGUUGCGGUGUGCGAGGGGUUCCUGGGCAUUGAGCCCAACUUCUCGCUGUGGAAGUACUUCUUCACGGUCAGCCUAUACCAGAAGGCCGAGAAGAGGGGAAGCCAGCAGCGGUCGACCCCGGUGCCGAUAGGGUGCGUCGGAAUCCACCUCUGCCAUACUCGCGCCAAGGAGUAUAUCGCGAUGAAGACCGCGGCAUCCCACAAGGGGUGGCACCAGCAAUGGUUCUACGUGAAGAACUACUCCAACCCCCCCUGCCGGAGUUCACCGGCCGCAUUAUUGAAGCGGCGCCGGAGGUGUGGGUGUACGGCCCGGUGGAGAAGGAGAAGAAGCGGAUCACCGGCCUGCUGCAGGCCAUCGAGCACCUGAAGGAGAGGGGACUGACCGGAGCCGGAGUCAUCGGGGCGUACCACGCCCGGCGGGUGGCGCCGCUGAUGCUCCGGGUCCGCUCGCUCGCCGACAUGACCCCCGGUGCUCUCACCGAUGGCACUGUCCUCGCGACGGGUGCUCUCGCUGCCUCCGAGAUCCGGCAGCGGAUCCGGGAGGCGCUGGAGGACAAGGACGCCGAUUACCCGGUGCCCGGCCACCCUCCGAUGCGCCCGGACGAGAAUUUCAUUGAUCUGGUAAGGAUUUUGCGCGCCAGUUUCCCUCUCUUGCGUUUCUUGGUAUGCCGUUCUGACGCGAGGCCCUCUGUGUUUGCAGGGUAGCAUGACCCGGGUCGUCGACUUGCGUCCGCCAGUGUCGGAGGACGCCGAGUGGCGGUAGCAGAACCGUCUCCUUGCCGAGAAGCAAAAGUGACGCAAGGACAAGAGACAGCGAAGAAGAAGAAGAGGGCCGCCAAGGAGUUCCAGCGGCGGCGGUGGGGAUAGGUCGUGUCGGAUGACGAUGACGAUGAGAAGGAGGAGGAGGAUGACGAGGAGGAGGAGGAGUUUAUCCUGUCCCCCCGGUCAGGGGCGCUUGUUAUCCGGGAGCCGCGCUCCCAAGCGGCCAUGGGGGACAAGGCGGGCGAGCUGCCUGCCCGGACCCGAUCCUGCGAAGCUUUGGGGGCGCGCCCCAGGGGUCGGCGCAGAGCGCCCCCCGGGGGUCGACGGAGCCGACCCCCAUCCCUACACCUGCAGCCCAGGAGCAGAGGAGCAGCGACAAGCGGCCGUUGCCAGAUGCCCCGGGGUCGGCGUCCAGCUCAGAGGCGAAGCGCGCGCGCCGCCCUUGCGCUGGGGGAACGUGAGUUGAAUUUCCUUGCGAAUCUCGUUCCUUUCCAUGCAUUGUGUUUGUUUCCGCUGAUGCUGUUUGUUGUCUCACAGCACCGCCCCUCAAGGCCUUGUCCCGCCGUUGGCGCCAAAGAAGGCGUUGCGGUGUUGUCGCCUCUGCGGGGCGGACCGCGGCUCCGCCGGCGGCGAGUGGCGGGGUCACUGGUGAGACCGCGGGUCCUACCGCGGAGGUGGCCCCUGCGGCGGCAACCGGUGGAGUGGUGCCACCGCCGGGCAUGGGACAGGGUCUGGACCCCGCUCCGUCCUCCGCCUCUUCGGCCGACCCCGCGGUGCAGAGUAUCGCUCCUGGGGGCCCUCAGGCCGGGGAGGUGAUUGACCUCGACGCCGACGAGGUGGAGGAGACGGCGGCGGUGGAGACGGGGGCGGUUGCCCCAGCGGCCAUGACGGGGACGACGACGGCGACGGGGGAAGGAGAGUCUACCCCCGCGGCCACGGCGGGGACAGUGGCGACAGAGGAGGCGGGGACGCCCGCCCCGGCGGCUGCGACGGAGGAGGCGGCGGUGACGGAGACGGGGGCUUCCGCCCGGGAAGCCACAGCCGAGGUGGCAGCGGCGACGGAGGUGAAAGUGCCUGUUCUGGAGGCCACGGUGGGGGUGGGGACGCCUGCCUCGUGGCCACGACGGAGGGCGAGGCGGCCCCAGGGACACUUGCUCCGGCACCCGCGUUGGAGGCGGUGGCGCCGACGGGUUGGCCCGUGGCGGCCUCGACGGGGGCGGGGGUGCGUGCGCCGGGACCGUCGGUGAGGCCGGCGACUUCCGGGAUGGUGGUGCCCGUCUUGACGGCGGCGGCGGCGCGGUCGGCCCCCGCCCUUGCCUCUACCACUCCCAUUCCCAAGGCGUGGAGCGGAUCCGUCCUGCGUUGGUCGUCUCGUGACGACCCGCAGAGGCCCCUCUUCACGUUGGAUGAUGCCACAGAAUGGGGCAAGUGGCAGGCGCUGCAGGGCGGACUCGCUAACGUCCGCGCCGCUCUAUCUUCGGCGUUGGGGGAGCUGGACGGCGUCAUCUUCCCCGGUGGCCGGGUAUGGUGCUUUCUCCGUUGGUUAUUUUCUUCCCGUUACUUCGUCCCUGAUGGCACAUUGUUCUGCAGGCCCUCCAAGAAUGUAGCCGGGGAAAAUCUGAUUUCCUUUGGCUCGAGCAGGGGCUCUGGGAGCGCUUCAACUUGGAGUUGCAGCGGACCGGGGAGCUGACCAUGCAAGUCGCCACCGUCUAGCAUGUCAUCGACGAUCUGCGAAGGCACGAGCAGGCGGCACAGGAGGACGCGCGGCGGGCGGAGGCCAAGUUCCAGGUCGUUGCCGAAAGGGCUCGCUGCGACCGCGAGGAGUUCCAGGCCGUUGCCGAAAAGGCCCGCCACGACGCUGAGGAGCUCGCACGGCUGAAGGUGCAGCAUGAAGCUCUUCAGAAGAGCGGCAGAGGGCCUGGCAGGACCGGGACGCCGAGAAGGUCCGGAAGGAGGAGGCUGAGAAGGUGGCGGCCAACCUUGGGGCUGAGGUCAGCCAGCUCCAAGUGCAAGCGCGAGAGCUUCAGGCCUCCGUGGCCCAGGGGCUCGACCAGGAGCGCCAGCUGAAGGCCUAAUCCGAGGGUAUGACUCUGUUUAUUUCUUUGUCUUUGUGAUGUUGCGGUGAUAUUUUAUUUGGCGGGUUCUUCUGGAUGAUCCUUGCAGAUGAGCUCAACUGGCUGAGGGAGGUGCUUGACGCGGAGCGCGCUGAGCACGGCGACCUGCGGGACGCGGUCCGCGUCAUCUGUGACUUCCUUAGUGUGGUCCAGGGGGAGGGGACGAGCUCGCUGGCGGCUCGUGUCCUCGGGACGUACCGCCGGACCAGCGAGAUCGCCCUGGAAGCGCUUCGCACCGGCUUGAGGCAAGCCUUUGGGGUCUUCGGCUCCCACUAUUCCGGCAUCAACUUCGCCGGGAUGAGCGGGGGAUACGCCACCGGCUACUACGAGGCCGAGCUGGAUGAGAUCGACGUGUCGGUGCUCAGCCCGGCGGAGGCCUUGGUGAAGCUCCUCGAGGAUGAGGCCGUCCCGCCCGAAGAUCCCCGGACGAGUUAACUAUAUCGGGCUGGCGCCCCAGAUGUAAAUACGUUAGGGAAAGACUUGUUUUUUGUGAGGGCCGUAGAGGCCUUUUCUAUGAAUUGUCGUAAAAAAGUUUUUGAUUCCCUUUCUUGCUUUUUGGACUUGGAAAGUUUAGAGCACGUUGUCGGGCGUGUCAGUAAGCUUUGAUGAGCGAAGGCACCGUAGCCGCUGGGGCGUCGUUUUUUUUGCAGUCCGAUCAAUCUUGCCUGAACACCGUUCGUGCACUUUCUCCUUUUUAUGCCCAAAAGUUCAGAAAGAGGGUCGGCUCGGAAAGAGAAAGCGUUUUGAGAGGGUGUCAAGUGGCUUAGGUACUUGCGGCAGGUUGCGUGGUGGACGCGGAUAUCCUUCUCCCUGACAGAUCUGCGGCGCAUUUAUGGUGAGAUCAACAUGGGGACCCACAAGACCCGCGCCCAAGGCGGAUACUUGUCUGGAGGGCCCGGGUUAGCCCGACCCCCUACGCUUGGGGUCAGGCGAGGCGGAGACUUGCGGCGGGGGGUUGGACGCUCCUGACCCUAGACCUGCGGUCGGGCGAGGCGGAGCUUGGUCUUCCAGGGGUCGGGGGCGCCUUACCCCGGGAUGCGGGGUCGGGCGAGGCGGAGCGUAAUUCUUGCCUCCCAUGUUGGGCCGACGGCAAUCUUUGUUACCUUGGGUGGGCCUGGGCCUUUAUGUUUUGUUGUUUCCAUGGGCUUCGAGAGGUCGUUAAUAUUUCCCCCCAACACUAUGAGGAGGACUUGUGGGCAGAAAGUCAGCUACCACAAACUUGCCUCUGAAUAUUUGGAGUGCAAACAUUGGAUGGUGGUUGUGGAGAGCCCCAGCCAUACCUCGCACCCGUGGAGAGGUAAUUGUCGGAUUGCUUGGUUCGUCUCUAGAAUGCGACAAGGUCAGGCGCCACCUCUCACUGCUGCCAGUCAGAAGGCCGAGGGGCCAGUUUCAACAUAGUAAUGAGAAUCUCCGAAGGCCAAUAUGGUUAAGCAGCUAACCUCCAUGAUCAUAGACUUACGUUUAGAAAAUAGGAGGCUUAGCGAUGCGUUAACAGAGCAGAAGUUAGAAACAGAAGAACUUAAGGACGACUUCCGUGUCCUCCGCCUUGGUCUUUGUGCUAAGAUAAAGCGCUUGUACAAUGCCACGGGGAAUGACGGUCUCUACGAUGCAGCUCAAUAGACGUGCCCCUUGUAUCCUUUCCUUUAGGCACUUUAGAAUAUGUUUAUUUGUUUUCCUUCAUUUUAAUUUCCAAUAGAUUGUUAGCGCCUCCAAUUUAAUUUCAAUAAAGUGUAGACUCACCGGUCAUCCAACUUGAUGGAGUCCUUUUGUCACCUAGUUGUCUUUGGAAGAAGUAGCUGGGUACAAAAUAAGUGUGGGGGAGAGCCACAGACUCUCUAGAGCUGAAACAAUGCACAACACCCACAAAUAGAGAAAACCACGCUGCACCAGCACGUACGUGAAAGUGGAGCCAGAGCUGGACCCAUAGGGGUUUGGCCAACCCAAGGGGUGGCCCACUCGGGCCAUCUUCAUCCACCGCGUCGGUUUGUGUCUCUUUACCCCUGAUCUCCCUGAUUCAUGAGUUUGAAUGAAUUUUAAAUCUGAUCAACUAAUUCAAACUCAACUAAAAUGAAUCAACUGCUCCACCUGCUCUACAUGUUUUCUAUGGUUGGCUUGCAUAUGUUUUAUUUCAUGCUUAUCAUCUUGAUGCUUGUGAACAAAUAUCUUUAGGACAGCAUGCUCAUCUAAGUAGUUGAUGUGUAUGAUAUGGUUCGAUGAUAUGAUCUUCACUCUUAAUGCUUAAGUGCUUGGGAAAAUCUAUUUGAAAAUUUAAAAGCCUUUUUGAAAUCUCCUCUUUGAUGUGCCAAAGUCCUACCAAAGCCAUAUGAUAAGUUAUCUUGAAAAACCAUUUGCAUAUGUUGCUUGUCUUUGCAUUGAGCUUUGUCAAAUUGGUGUGACCCUUGUCACAAUUCUUUUCAUACUUUCAUGAUCAAGACUCAUGUGCACGCCAUAUACCCCUUGCUAUGCUUCUAUGAGAUGUUAGCAUUGUACCAUCCAUUCAUUCCACAAAAUAAAUGCUCCACCAUAUGUGUUGGUCUCCUUCUAAGAUUAUUGUUACAAAAGAGAUAUGGGCUAUCAAAAAAAAAUAUGAAUGUCCAAGAAAGUUGGACACAUGAAUGUCCAAUAAAAAGAAAAAGAAAGAUAGCCAUGUCCUCAGAAAUAUUUACAAAGGGAGAGAGAUCAUACAAAAAGGAGUUUCCAUUCCAUCCACCACAUCCAUACAUGUGCACAUCUUGAUCUGAUUGUAUGACUUAUUUUUCUCUUUGGAUCUGGUCUUUGACUUUGCAAUAUAUGUGAUGCAAGCAUGCCUUAUCCUUCAUAGCCUACCUUGAGCUCCACAUAUAGCCAUCAUUAGAAGUAGGAUGAAGAAAGGCAAGUCUAAUGCCUUGGUGAGGACAUAUACACAUUGAGUGAUCUGAGAGAAUCAAAUGAGGAGCUAAGCAAGGUUUUGUUUUGAAAACUAAUUGAAAAAUCCCAAGCUACUUGGCAUAAGGAGUUGAGGUGACUUGAUUCAAGACCAUUACAUUCCUCAACUACCCAAGAUGGCAUGAUAGACACUCCAAAGUUCACAAGUGCAGGUAUGGUUUGGAAUAUCUUUUAGGCUCGCUUCAUACCUUUGAAAGUUAUGUUUCACCUUAGUCCUUUCUCGUUCACUCAAGGAUAAGCAAAGGCUAAGUGUGGGGGUGUUGUUGAUGGCUCUUAAGUACAAAAUCUGCGCCAUCAACUCUUGCAUAAACACAUAAAAUAUGAGCAUCAACAAUAGUGGUAGGAGUUAUUACAAACGAAUUCCACAAGUCUUGGUGAAUAUUUGUAUGCAAGCCCAAUAGGAGAGAAAAGACACCUCAAAAGCAAGGAAACACACUCUCAACCAAUCAAGAGCAAGCACAUGGAACCAUGGGCCCACAACCAAAAGGAAAUCGACUACAUUCCAAACACCCUAUACCCACAUGAGAACCCAUAGGGCAGUGACCCAGAGCAAAGGUGAUGCCAGAGUGUAGAUGGUAGUUAGCAUGCCAAAUUUUGAACCGCAAGCGCUCGGAUUAGUUGUUUCUUUUCCCUUAGAGAUUCCCCCAAGGUUUAUCAAUCCAUGGAACAAGGGAUUUGCACGUUUCACUAAGCACUAAUCAAUGUAAUUGAAAGCUUUUCGAAUAAGAUAUGAUUAUGCUAACAAAGGAACUAAGCAAUCUAGAUUAAGAUGGAUAGAGAGUACAGGUUGUGAACAAGAUAGAUUAAACGCUUGUAGAUGCAAUCACCAUGCAUGAAUGAAUUAGAUCUAGGUGUUAUUGUGAGUGGUUGUGAACCAUGCCCAACACUUUCCCACCCGCAACAUUGUCACUACAUGUGGGUACUCAACUAUCGGAACAUAAGAACACAUCAAGAUGAUCAUUCUAGGUAAGCAAAUAAGCAACCCAAAGUAGCGCUGGCCAGCCUUUUCAUGAAAGAGCAUCAUCAAGAUAAGAUUGAUAACAAAAUAGAUCUCAACCAAAGGUUCAGCGAUUACAAAUCAAGAUCUUCGUAUAACCCCGAUGACAAAUAGAGGUAUUACCCCCAUGAUCUUACACAUGUUGAUGAAUUUUAGGGUAAAGGACACCCUGUAGAUCAACUGGACCAAAGAUGAUGAUGAACGGGGGCAGGGAAGGCCCAGGUUGAUCAGCCUGCGCACUUUUGAGCCGAUCAGCUCAGGGGGUUUCCUCCUCCCCUGGUGCUCCUCUUCGCGUGGCCUCCUCUGGAUCCAAUCUUCUCUUCAUUUCUCCUACUUGUGGCGGCAAUGGAUGGUGUUUGCAUGGUGAUUUCCUCUUCUCCCCAACUCUCCCUCCUUGAAGUCCAUGAGGGGGUAUUAAUAGUCUCCAAUAGGCGGCAGCUCUGGGUCAAUGUCAGUGAAAAAAUCCUAGAGAUCAUCGUACACUUCAUGCUGAGGAAACAAGAGGUUGACCGAGCCCUGGGAUAGACCAAGAGGAUCAUCCUAGAGGGUCCCAGGCUAAUCGGUCUAGGCCCUUCCUAGCCCUUCUAGUCCUCUCCUUCCUCGUGCUGGCUUUUCUCGAUGACCCUUGUCCAAAUAUCCAUGAAGCUCUAUAUACAUACCCCCUUGAUUAUGUUGUAUUUCCUGUCAAAAUACAAUGCUCCAAAAUACAACACAUAUGCAAUAAUAGGGUUAUUUCAGGUGCCAAUUGGUGGGUUAGUAUACGAAUAAGCAUGAAAAUACUGUUUAAAUGACACUAAAAGUGUGUCAAUAACGAGCACCAACAAUCCCCCCACGCUUAGAUCUUGCUCGUCCUCGAGCAAGUCUAGCGACUAAAAGAUCUUGAAUUAAACCUGAGCAAGCGAGUCAAGUACCUAGCCUUGAAACAAAAGAUUAGAGGAGCAGCAAAGAUAAUCAAAGUCUGGGUGUUCAAAGAUUUAUCUAAGCAAAGAUUCCCCUACAACUAUUAUUCAGAACCAAGUAACUUCAAAAAUCAACUACACUUAUUUUCUGGCUUUUUUCAGAGGGUUUUUCUUUCAUCAUAAAACAAUCUCCCUGCAACAAAAUUGAAAAAAGAAUUAUUUUCAAGGUGCUUACAUGUCGCUUAAAUGAAUGUUGGCUAUCCUACUUAUUUGCAAGCUCUCAUCUCUCAAAAUUCAUUCAAUUAUAUGGUGGAGUUUGGGUAAGGUUAGCUAGAAUCAACACGUAUAUUAUUGAAUUAAGAAAACCCUCUAACGGUGGCCUACCUUCCGAGCCAUUGAUCAUAAGAAUAUCCACAUAAUGUGAAGUUUUCAAGGAUGAGAAGAUAUAGAAUGGUGGACAUGUGCAAAGGCAAAGAAAUAUAGUGACUCUGAGGCACAAGCAAUGUCCUCGUCGUUGGAUUGCAUAUGGUUGUAAUGAAAAUAUGUUCCUUAAACAAGUCUAUCUUUUCUUUGCACCACUCUUGAUCUUCAUGACAGUAAAAACUCCUCCUUUAUUUCUUUCUCUCUUUUCCUAUUAUUUCUUUUUAUUUGUCUCAAUACUUUUAUUUCUUUAUUUCUUUAUUUUAAUCUCUUCUCUGAACCUCUUCUGAACACCACAUAAUAAAAAUAAGUUUUAGAUCCUUCCAGAGACCUUCCAGGAAUUUGCUACAUGAAAACCGAGGCAAGGAGACCCCAGGCCGAUUGGCCUAGCCACUCCUUUGCUCUCCUCUAGCUCUUCUUUCUGGUGAAGCUUCCUUAUCUUGUAUCUUUCCAAAAAUUUCAUAAAGCUCGACUAGAAACGGAACAGAUCUUCAUAUAAUGAGUUGUGUUCAAGGAAUUGGUAAUAAAAUUGAGAAAUUUGUGGUUCGGGUUUACGAAUUCAGUACAAAAAUAUGAUUGUUCCAAUGAAGAACUCUCAUUACUGAAUAUUGACGAGGCAAGCAUUCAAAGAUGGUAAAAAGGAUAUGAUCAAUUCUCAAAAUUAAAGCAAACCAAGAGAGAGCGAUCCUAAUUCAAUUCAAAGUGUCAAAUGUUGCUUAUGGUGGUAUGAAUAAAUAUUUUUAGGCAUUGGGUAGGAUAAAUAAAAACUCUCAACCUGGUUAAAAGAUAUUGAUCAAUCUUGUUUUUGCAGAGGUUUUAAAUAAAAAAUAAAAUUUUAAAUCACCUCCAAUUCAAAGCCUUACUCAUAAAUCAUAAUCAAAACUGAAGCACUUGAUCAUCAUAAAGCAUGGGUAUUGCAUAAACAAAUCGAUUACUAAAACUCCACAACUACGAUUUAGAAUUCAAGACAAUGCUCAUAAUCUAAAGUUGCAAAGAUAAAAUAAAAGACAACCAAGCCAAGGUAGACACUAAAAACACUUGCACGAUCCUUGAAUUUUAUUCAUGCUUCUUCUCACAAAGACGCUAAAGUAGCCAUGUAGGCCUAAGUCUUCCCAAAAGCUUAAGAAAACUACUACUUUAUCUACUUUUGGUUGAAAUAAAAAGACUAAUCUAGACUCUCACAUGAUUCGACUCGACCAAAUUAGAUCCAAAAACUCAUACGAGCGACGAUCUCCCCCCCCUCACGCUUAAAAUCUACGACCUCCUCGUCGUAGCCAUAUGGAGUACAAGGAAAAGAAGCUUGUAAACGCUCUAAUGACGCUACCCGCACUACUUGCACACGGGAUGGUUGCUGCUUCCUUCGCUUUGUUCUUCCUCAUGUUGCUGCACAUCCCGAAGAGCUUCCUCACGUUCCUCUGCAAGAACUUGAACUCGUCCUCCUGACGGCGAUCAUUAUCUUCUGCCUUUUGAUCCAGAGCUUGUAAGGCUUGCAUGAUGUCAUCGAACGCAUCGAAGAGGUAGUGGAUGUUCUUCCUGCAAGCUGUGGAACAUGUACGAUCAUGCUCCUCCGAUUCUGGCCCGUCGUCUUCUAGAUCCUUCUCUUUGCCCUUGUCUUGACGGUGGCUAUCUUGCUCCUUGCUCGCCUUCUUGCCUUCAGCCCAAUCCCAGUACGUGUUGUCAUCUUCUUCAUCGUCACGGCCUGCAGCACCCUAUGAUCCAUUGUCUAUCUUGUAUGAAAGAAUCAGAAGCUUGUUCUCCUCAGGGUGUCUUGCGCGGUGCAGCGUUUGCAAGUGCAAGACUUGCUAGUUCCUUUUACACAUUGUAAUGUUCAUUGCAUGCUCUAAUUGUUCUACAUUUGUAAUUUCUUGGUGAAGUUUGGUUACUGAUCCACUGUUUGAUUAACUCUUGGGCCCAAACACUGUACUACUUCUGAUUAGAUAUCUGUAUCUUGACUUUGACCAAAAAAAAUAUCCGGCAGUUUUUGCCAUUAAAGUUUCAUAAAUCAUCUUGCAAAAAUCGUACUAUACAACAAGGGACGGUUUAUUAUAAAAUAUACGUUCCCCUUAUCACAUGCCACUUCCACUCAAAAGGCAACGAAUCAGUUUUCAAUCCUGAGUGAGCAAUUUGCUUUUAUUACCGAUGCCUCCUAUUCCCUUGUGCACCAAGUUUAUUUUGGAUAGGGCUGCAAAAAACGACUAACCAGCUCGGAUUCUCCACCUGCAAAACCGCAUCUGCAGCAACCAACCCCACGCGGUGGAAAAAAAAACAAAACCUAGAAACCGGACGGGGGUGGAUGUGGGGCUCGGAGCCCAAGCAAAAAACGGAUCGGGAGCGCCGGAGCAGGCCAUCACCGGAUGUUAGAGAUAGAAAAUGGUUGAAGUUUGGAGUGGAAAUCAAACAAGCCUUGGAGCAAAGGAAAAAAAAAGAUCAAACCACUCAAGCAUUCAUUUGAUUUAGAAAAGAGAACAUUUGUUAAGGUGGGGAGUUGAAAUCAUCUUUUAAUUAGUUCCACGUAUCUGGUAUCAUUACAGUUGGUUUACUUGUGUAAGUAUAAGUAGCUCUGCCGAAGCCUUUGCUCCUAUAAUUUAGUAACUAGUACAAAUGGAUCAAUAGGAAAAUCAAGUUGCAAUCAUUUCUCAGCCAACCAAACCUAUGUAAAUCAAAUUAUUGUCCAUGCCCGGCAUGCACAGGUGCCUGCCAUGCAUGCAUUGUUGCUCCAUUGUAAUAACCAUUAUUGUCCAUCGAUGUUGCAGCGCAUGUGUGCACUGUGCAGACACCAAGCAUCGAGAUUAUGUACUAGUAAGGUGUUGAAAUAAUGGGCCUAGCCCAUAAGUAAUUUCAGAAUUUCAAAUAAAUCUCAAAGGCCCAUGUGGGCAAGAGGUGGAGUGGUGCAAGUCUUUAGUCCCACAUUGCUAGUCGAGGGGAGGGAUGACCAACUUAAAUAUGGAAGUUGUCUCCACUCCUCCAAGCUAUGUGUGAAGGGCGCGGGCGCGAGGCACUUGCGUGAAUGGUCCGCCGAAAUCUGGCCCCCCUUGCGGGGGCGCGGCUUCCUUUUGCCGUUUUAUUUUUUGGUUACUUGGUCGUUAAGUCAUGGAAUCCUAACCGGUUUAGAUCACGAUCGUGAAGGUUUUUGGGAAGCGCUCUGCGCGACUGCUCGAUCGCUUCUUCCGCUUCGUCAAGUUCUUCGUCGACUCCUUCACCACGGCUCGUCUACCUCUUCGUCGCUCGGGCCUCACUCGUCGUCGCGAACAACGUCAGGCUGCUGAUCGUCGUCGCCUGCUGUAUCCGGUAGUCGUCCAGGAGCCGGUUUUCAUCAAGAAAGAAACGUACGGUCUCUUAACUCACAUUAUGUCUUCCAUACUAGCUAUUAUGAUUGUUGCAGUCUGAUAGCUCUGGAUAGUAUGGUAGAAUGUCUGAUUCUAUUUGCAAUGAUAGACUUGUCUAGAUCUUGCGUAGACAUGUCUAGUUUAAUCUGCUGCUUGUUCAUCAUAUUCAUGAUUUAUUUCUGGAUUAAGUUAAAACUAAAAGUGCUUAUAUAUCCAACAUAAGGUACCAAGAACACGUGAAGCACCCGGGGGAGGCUGCUCCACUCCGCAUGCACAGGUGGGCACGGCACCACUACUCGUCUCCUUCAGGCUGAGGAUAAGUGAUGUACGCUGAUCAACAGACCACGACGGAACCAGCAAUAAUAGUUUCAGCCUGCCUCACAGUAAUUAAUAUAUCCUGUAUCCUCCGAGGACCCCUCCCCUUAAUCUUGGCCUAUUGCAUCCAAUAAUGAUAUGUGUGUUUAUCCAAAUUUACGGCACCUUUGGCGGGGGUUCCACCCAGCUCCGCCCUCUCCACCUUCGGUACUCCAUGGGAAACCAUUCCUUUGGAAUCAAGGAAGCUUGAACAGUAUAACGAAUAAAGUUUCAUAUAUCCAUUUGAUUUCACAUGAAAUAAAAUAUUCUGUCAGAACCAAUGGUUUCACUGAAGCUCCAGGCAGCGAGCGAAGGGGUGAGAGAGGAUAACGCUUACUGUGUGUUACCAUCGCGUGCACCAUGGAUGACCAACGCGCAGCCGAGAUGAAACGGCGGACCUAAACAGGUCCUCGCUAUUUUUGCAGGUUCUCGACCAGGCCAGUUCUUUAGGCCAACCUAUCAUUCACGAGUUAAACAUACGGUGGCUGGAGAAAUGUUCUAUUCUUUUAAACAAUACCAGCUGGUUCCUCCGUUUUUAUUCCACCAAUACAAGCACCACCUUGUAACAUUUCCUAUGUUUUUUUUCCUUUCGUCUGUUUUCUCACUACAUGCGUUGCUCUUUCAUGCAUUUUUUUCCAUUCCUGUAUUCCAAAUAGGUCUACAUGAACACAAAAUGAACUAGGGGACAGAAAAAGCCAGUGAAGUUAGUUUUGAGCUUCACCAGCUACUUGCUACAUAAAGUGUGCUAUAGUCGCAGAAAAGCUAAGCUGGAUCAGACGUGGCCGAAACAAUGCCAAAGAGCUAGGUCCCUAGCUGAUGGCAACACAUCAGAUGACUAGCCUGCUUUUCUGUAAUAAUGAUAUUGAGCAAUACACUGCAUGGCUAACCUGCUUUACAAUAAUUGUCAUUUUAUAAUAUUGGUCAUCACGAGAGAUGCACAUUGCAUACACCGGCCCAUCCCUAUAAAUAGCCAAGCCUUUCAGCCAUCUUGGGCACCUCCUCUCAGGGCCUCGUCUCACCAUCAGACAUCUCGUUCCCAGUUAUAAUUUGCGAGGUUAGAUCAGGCUGCGCCAUGGCGUCCGCAACUGCUGUCAAGAUCGUCGCCACCUUCAUGCUGGUGCUGACCAUGGGCCACCUGAUGGCCGAAGCAUCACCGCAGCCUCGGCGUGUGCUUGCAGAAACGGAGCAUGCUGCGGUGUCCGGGAAUCCUGGCCUCCCAGGUGAUGCUAGCGUCAUGCAGGUCCUCGAACCCGCCCUAGUUUCUCGGCUUGCCUGCAAACCAGAGUGCACAGUCCCUUGGCCUCCUUUUGUAUGUAUCUGCUAGAUCCUCUUCCUGGCUCAACGGAACUUCAGGGAAAUGGCUGUGACGUCGGCCAAAGAAUAAAUUGGAUGAACAUAAUAUACCCCGGGUAGUGUAGCUUGGGCUUUUGUUGAGCGUCUGGUGCUAGUUGUAUUUUGUUUGCUCAUGUGGCUUUGCUUCUGGUUGCAUAUUGGCUUUCCUAUCGCUCUCUGUUGCAGCUAUGGUUUCUGCCAGGUGUGUGUUAAUGCGGUUUGUAAGCGGUGCUUGUUCCUACCUUCUGUUUUCAAUAAAAGAAGUCGGAGUCUCCCUCCGACUCUUGUUAUCAGUCAACAAAAAUGAGUUGUAUCAUAUAUAUCUGCGUCUUUUUUCUACGUAUCUUUGGGCUGCUUCAGCUGGAAGUUUAUCGUAAGUACGUGUAUCAGGAUGAUCGUUUGAAUUAAAACGAAAUGAUAAUGUGUGGCUGCUAGAAAUGGAAUGAGCAUCUUACUAUAUUACUAAUUGGAAGCCUCCACGUGAAGCCACCUAGAAAUUCUAGGUGGACGUUUUAAAAAAAACAAAACUCAUAGAAGCCUCCACCACCUAGGAAUCCUAGGUGGACACUCUAAAAAGAGACAAAUCCUAGAAAUUCUAAAAAAAGAAAAAAAUAAUAACAAUAAGAUUUUUUUGCAGUCAAUUACAUAUAUUUUUUUGAGACACCGUGCUGCUAGCUCUUGCCAUUGCGACCAGUAAAGCAAGCAGAUAGUAAGAUGACAUGCGUGUGGAUUGAUUAAAACAAAUUCAGUUAGUUGAUUCUAAAUCGUAUGUAUCCUAAAAGGAAGAUAUGUGCGUGCAUGGUCCCUAGCGAUGACAUGUAGACAUGUAUUGCAAUUUCUUUUUUAAAAAACAUGUCUAUCUCUAAACCAACAAACAGAAAAAAUAUCAAUCUAAAUCUAAAUCUCUUCCGUUCUCACACGCCUAUUAAAGAGAAGACAACCAAUCCCAUCCAUGUUCCAUAGAAUCCAUCUAAAAGCUUGCUCACUGCGGACGGCAUUUGACGGCAAAUCAAUGAAAGAUCAUCCUCUCCAAAUAGCUGGACGGCAUCACCAUCUUUAUCUCACCAACCUACAGAGCUACAACGAUGUUGUAGAGAUCAACUAGGUAACCUACCAAUCACCCUCCCCUUUUCUAUAUGCUCUAAAGAACACGUGGAGUAAUUAUAGGCCUAUAGGAGCCGACUAACCUAGAUUAAUAUGAAAAAUAUUCCAAUAUUAAAAGCAAGCAGAUAGUAAUACUUGCCUUUGACCAUUUUUCUAGAACUGUUAUUCCUAUUGAAUGUUCAAGUGCUACGGCCAGGCAUCGAAUGCCUGCACGGAACCUUCCUAUUGAAUGGUUACUCUAGAGAUCAACGCACCGCGAGACAUUUUUAUGGAAUUUGUUUGAUUCCCCUUCUACAAUUAGAUUAAUUUUUCAUGGCAUAUAUUACUACUAUUAAAUUAUUUGUUUAUUGUCGGGCCUGCUGCAUGUGUGGUAUAUAUGACUUGCUUCUCACCAUUGUUCUCAAACUAUUAUUCCUAUCGAAUCUUUCUAUCGAAAUAUAUUUUAAUUACUUGAUUGUUGUUUGUGUACCAUAACUUCUGUAUAGAAAAAUUCCAUGUUUGUAGAUAAUGUCUUUUGUAUAGAAAAAUAGCCCAAUUAGAUCCAUCACCAUCUUUUGCUUAUGUAGUUGAACAAGUUGCAAUGUUGAACAAAACUUUAAGUGAAAUUAGACCAGGAAAAGGAAUUGUGGAACAUUAAGGCAAGGGUAACCAGAUUGUGGAAUGCAACCUUACUCAGUAGUGGCGAACAAUUAAGUCUUGACAUGAUCCUUAUUGAUCAAAAGGUAUGAUAGAUGUUCACUUUGAUUGCAUUAUUGGUAUAAUUUUUGGUUUACAAAUUAUUAAUGAUGAUGCAAAAUUAGGGAACCAUGAUCCACGGUGUUAUCAAUAAGCCCUAUAUGAAAAAGUUCAAACCAUUGAUUGAAGAAGGCAAUGUGUACAUAAUUGCAAAUGUCAGAAUCACACCAGAACCACAGAAGUAUCGGCCAGUGGAAAAUGACAGGAUAGUCAACUUCUUACCCACAACUGCACUAAAAACGAUCAAAGAUACUGAAGACAUUCCAAAGUAUAGUUUUAACUUCAUGAGCACGGAUAUGCUUUCAGCAAGAAUAAAUGUGGACAUGUACCUAUUAGGUAAAACAUUACUGGCUUUUCAAUUUUUACACUUCCACUCAUUAAAUGACCAUCUAAUAAUAAUACAUAUUUAUGUUUCAUAGAUGUUAUAGGUAUCUCAGCUCACAUUGGACCGAUAGAAGAAACAAGGACAAACUUCGGAUUUACUAAAAUCCGUGAUAUUGUGCUCCUGAUCGAGUAAUUCUCUUUUCUUUUGUAGAAAACAACUACAAAACUUUCAACAUUUACAUGUAUGUUAUAGAACUUCUGUUGAACUAAAAAAUAUCUUCUACAGUGCCCCUACAAAUAAUUAAUUUCGUAGUUGGAUAUUUAAAAUAUUUAUUAUUCACUUUUAAAUUUGUGGCCAUGAAGUUAAAGUUAGAUUUUGGGGAGACAAAGUUGAGGAAGUUGAUGAUAAGACAAAAUCCCAUGUCAUUGCAAUAACAUCUACAACUGUGAGUAAAUUUGGCAGUAAGUCUUCAUUCAAUAUGAGUUAUUCAAUAUUAGUCAUUCAACAAACUAACCUCGUAAGAAAAAUAAAUAAUUGAUGUUUUAUCAGGGUAUUCUCUAUCGUCAACCAAUGCAACAAAACUUUAUGUAGAUCUACCUAUUCCUGAAACUAAGGAUGCACAUGAUAGGUGAGAAAAAUUAGAUAUUGUUUUUCUAUUUUAAUCUAUGUAGCAUGCACUCUAACAUGAUACAUUCUUUCAUAUGAUAAAAAAAUGUUAGUUCAAUUGAAAAUAUUGUCAAAGAGAUUCAUAUUGAGGACCAUCUAAAAGGGACAUUGGAAGACCAAAUGCAGUACAAUAGAAGAACUUUAGAAGAAUUAAAUUUCAUAUUAUUUGAAACAUCAAAUCAGGUAUGGAUUAGUAUGUUCAUUGUACACUAUACUAUUUAAAGACUUACAUACAUAAUGAUGGUAUUGUUCCUACUUUCAGGAUGAGGUAUUUACUAUUGAAGCAACAAUAAAUGAAAUUAAUGCAACAUAUGGUUGGUUGUCACACCCGAUUUUAAGGACAAAAUUGAGUGCAUUAAAUACAUGUGCACCAGGAUCAAGUUACACACAUCCUAUGAGUACCGUCCUUCUUUGGCACAAAGAUAACCGGUGCUCCCCAUGGUGAUGAACUAGGCCGAAUAAACUAUUUUGCUGAUAAUUCCUCUAGUUGUUGUUUCAAUUCUUUUAAUUGUUCAACCAACAUUCUAUAAGGACGUUUGGAGAUAGGUGCAGUACCAGGUAAAAGAUCAAUAGCAAAUUCAAUGUCGCGGUCAGGUGGCAUACCUGGUAAAUCGUCGGGGAACACAUCCGGAUAGUCACACACCACUUUGAUAUCUUCCAAGGAUUUUCCAGCCAACUGAUUAACUGCACAAUCUGCUGCUGAGGGUAGAGUAGCUACAAACUCCACUUUCUCUCCAUCAGGACCUGUUAGCAGAACUGUCCUCUUGGCACACUGAAUCGUUGCAUCAAAAGCGGCUAACCACCUCAUCCCCAGAAUUACAUCGAUUCCACUGGACUCAAGGACGAUAAGAUCAGCCGGAAACUCUAUACCCAUUAUUCUCAGUUUAACUUGUGGACAGAUGUAUUGAGCCUUCAUUGACCCCCCAGGUGAACUCACUAGCAUAUGACGCCUCAUGGUAUGCAUGGGUAAAUUAUGCUUUGCUACAUAAUGACUAGUGACAAAAGAAUGCGAUGCUCCAGAGUCAAAUAAAACUGAUGCGGGGGCAGAGUUGACAAAGAACAUACCAAGCACUACAUCUGGAGCCUCCUUAGCAGUCUCGGCUUCCAUGUGGUUCACCUUGCCACAAACAAAGCUUUGCUGCCCCUGAUUGCCUUGUGGGGUCUGGUUCCCAUUCCUCGGUUGCUGCAUCUGAUUCUGCCGAGGAGCACUGCUGUUCUGCACGGGGGUAGCUGGCCCACCUCUCUUAGGACAAGAGCUGGCAUAGUGACCAACCUCGCCACACUUGAAGCAGGUAGGACCCACUGGAGCAUUGGGCCUUGUUGGAGUGCCAGUAGGGGUCAUCUGGCGGUUCUGCGUAAAGCUUGGGCGCGGAGUCUGCAUAGUCUGCAUCCCUGGAUGCUGGAACUGAGGGCUAGGGCGCUGGAAUGACUGCUGAGCAGGGCGCGGAAAUGAGUGCUGCCAAAAAUUCCCACUCGGGCCCCCUGCGCGGAACGGCGUCCCUUGCUGUGGAGCAAAGCGAGGGCGGGUGUUGCUUCCUGAAGACUACUGGGAAUUGAAUUUCCUCUUCAUCUCCCCGAGCUCGUUCCUCUUGUGUUCCAGGCCAAUUGCCUUGUCUAGCAUCUUCUGGAAACUGGGGAAGGUGUGCGACAUAAGCUGAUAUUGGAGUGGUCCAAUCAACCCAUCCAAGAAUAGCUCCUGCUUCUGCUCAUCAUCAGCAACAUCUUCGGGAGCAUAUCGGGACAACUGGACAAACUUGUCCCUGUACUCUGCCACUGUCAUGUUCCCCUGCUUGAGAGCAAGGAACUCCUUCUUCUUAAGCUUCAUCAAUCCGGAAGGAAUAUGAUGACUUCUGAAGCUAGUCCUGAAUUCAUCCCAGGUGAUGCCAUUAGCAUUGGCAUGGGUGGUGGUGUAAGCAUCCCACCAAUCAGCAGCUGGCCCUUCCAGGCGUCCUGAAGCAUACAGGACCUUCUCCCUGUCAGUACAUUGGGCGAUAUCCAGCAUCUUCUCCACUGUUUUCAGCCAAUCAUCAGCAUCUAAUGGAUCCGGAGAAUGUGAAAACGUCGGGGGCUUGUGGCUCAUGAACUCCCUAUGCCUGUCCCUUGGCGGCGGCUGCUGCUGGUUGUUGUUGUUGUUAUUGUUCAGCUGAGCUUGUAAAGCUGCCACGGUGUUGGUCAGUCCGGCGAGAAGCUGAGUCUGAGCUGCUAGAAACUGCUCCAUCCCUGCAGGUGCUUGUUGGUUCUGUUGCGGAGCGGUGUUGGGAUUGCUGCUGUUGUCCCUGUGGCGUGGCACUGUGGGACGGUCAACUCCUGAUCCGGACCUGGUGUUUACCAUCUGAGCGUUAGAGACAAUGGAUUUAGAUAGAUGUGUGAAAGAAUAACUGAGAAAGAUAAAGCGACCAGAUGUAAAAGUAACACAGAUUCUGUUAGCUCCAUUUAAUUAGGUGUGGUCGUCAGAAGAAGUGUCCAUAAAUUCUGAACAAUUACCAAGUCGUAACUUAUUAAAUUUGUAAACCAACCCAACUGGAAUCAUCUCAAUCGGACUUCUGGAUCUCGAGUUACAAAAUUAACAAGCUGACAGUGUCGGUCGAUAGGUUCAGAUUCUGAGUGCUUUACUAAUUCGCAUACACCUCCCAGACAGAUACACCAAAAAUUCUGAAAAAUUUACAGAUAGUACUCCACGAAAUUCUGAAACUAACCCCACUGGUUUCAUGUCAUUUGGACUUCUGUAGCUAGAGAUAUAAAUAAAAAAGUACUGGCGUGUCAGUUAAUGUCGAGAACAGAAUUGAAUGUCGCUUAGCUUGCGUGAUGGAUAGAUUUAGACAGAUGGUAGAUCAUGAUUAAGGAAGAUUAAAUACUGAUUUAGAACAGAAAUAAAACCCAACUAAGCACUUUAUUUAUUAAGACCAGUAUCGUGUGGCAAUUGCCCCACAUACCGCACUCAUUACAAAAUCCAACUCAAACAUGUAGCACAAAACCAAUCAUCUAAGCACACUUUAACUAACACACUCGAACGACGUCUAACGAUUACAAGAAUUUAAACUAAAACACUCCUAAUUUCCUAGAGGUCUUCUGCGGCGGUGCCGGGCGAGUCGUAGCGGGGACGCUUAGGCGACGGCGACGAAGCGGGAUGAACAGCAAACUCCUGCGGCGGCGGUGCUCCCGUCGCGGCAGCCAUAUUCGCAUCCCUCUCCCACCGGAGUUCCUGAACCUCCUGUUGAAGCUCCUGGAUGUGGUUGUUUGCUUCAUUCAAUGCGGUGAGAGCUGCCGACGUGUACUUGCGGAGGAAGUCUGUAGCCAUGUCAACCCCAUCGUUAGUAGCGAUGAAGGUUCUUGCUUCCCCACUAGCUCGGUAAGGAAGGAACCGAUGGUAAGUGUGCUGCAAUCGCGGCCGUUCCUUGUGGGAGACGACCUCAAGUGCCCUCCUGGCGGCCUCGGCAAUGCCGGAUUCCAUGGUCCUCCUUAUGGUCACAUCAUGGUGAAAAGCCUUCACCUCCCAUCCUCCCUCGUGCUCCUCACGAAGGACAACCUUCACCUCCCAAAAAGUGGGAUAGCGAGGGUGGGUGAACCGGGAGCACUUGUAGAGUGGCCUCAUGCCGUACCCCAAGCGGUGACAAGUCCACCUGAGUAUGUCGGCCAUGUGCACUCCUUGGCCAUAAUCUUCCUUCACCCAUUUGAUCCAUGUCUCGGGCUCGGGAUCUGCUUCGGGCUCAUCAUCCGUCAAGUCGACGACCGGUACGGGCGUCGGGGCUGGUGCAGGAGCGGGCGCCGGUGCUGGCGACGGUGCUGGUGACGGCGUGGUCUCCUGCUCCACGGUCACGGCGUCCCCGUCAGAGUCAUCCCCCGGAUGCUGGAAGAUCUCUUCCUCUUCUUCCUCGUCCCAAGGCUCCAUGGGGGCGUACGACGGCGCGAUGCCAUGACGCGGCGGACGGGUGCUCUUGCGUGCGGUCAACCGGGUGCGAGCCAUCUAACAGAAAGAAAGAAGAAAAUUUUAGAAUAAAAUUUUGAACAAAGCUAGAUAAUAAAAUAGCAAUAAGGAUGAGACAAAUCAAGUUUAAGAAUAAUUAAGUAGAUUUAAAUUAAGAAAGGUAGGAAUGGCUACUAGAUUAUUAUAAUCCUUAAAUACGACCAUUUUCUAACUAGGCUAACGUCCUACAGUCAACACGGCUCUGGUACCACUUUUGUCACACCCGAUUUUAAGGACAAAAUCGAGUGCAUUAAAUACAUGUGCGCCAGGAUCAAGUUACACACAUGUACGACAAUAGUGAAUAGUAAAGCCAGUGCUAAAUCGAAUAAAGAGAGUAUUAACCAUUAUUACAUGACCGAAUGUCUCAAAUAAACCACAAAGUCUAAUUAUUACGCAGCGGAACUCCAAAGAUGACGACGACUCCAUAGGCAGCUGACUGAAGAAACGUACGCCUAGAACUCCUCGAAGUCGUGGAAGUACUCCUCUUCCCAAUUAACUUGGUCUGAACAGCGGUUUUGCAAGGGUGAGUACACUUAUGGUUGGUACUCAACAAGUCGUGGGAAGUAGUGUAGUGUAAGGCUAAUUCAAGGUAUGGCUAAGGCGUAAAUAGCAUUCGCUUUUAAUUAAGUUGGUCAAAUUUUAUUAGCAUUUACUAAGUAUAAGUUCAUACCACCCGAAAUUAAACAUGAACAUAAAGUAAACCACAUGUGCAUGAAAUGAUAACAAAUUAAAUCCAUCUUCCGAUAAUAUUAUCAUGUGAGGGUCCAGGCCGCUCUUAACCGUGAGCACGGCUGAUUGAUCAGUUUAACACUCUGCAGAGGUGGCACAUCUUUACCCACAAGUCGCGUAAAAGUUCAAAAGAACUUUGGACCCAACCAUGCGGUGUUUGCAAGGCACCAUACCACACUUCCGAGGUGUGAUUGCAUAGGGACGCUACGAGGCCUUUACAAAGAUUCAUUAAUCAGUGGUAACCCGCUAAGGUUUCGGUGUCUGGCGUGCACCACCCAUCCCAGGUAAAAUGCAACGACUCAGUCCCCCCCCUUGAAUCAUCACGAGUAAGGUCACCCCAGACUAAGGUUUCUAAUUAAUCAGCCAAGACCAGAGCUAUUUAGUCUUGUGGUAGCACUGUUUUCCUGGGUGGUCGCUCCAUGUUCUGAUUAACAAAUAAUGAUCUUGUCUUAAUGAAAGGUAUAACAGAAAUAAGGCAAGAUUAAGCAUUGUUUUUAGUUAAACCACCAUGUACCAAGUAAGCACUAAGCAUGAGCUACCCAACAUAAAGUAAACCGGUUGGUCAAGGCAAAGGUAAAACAAUCUAGGCCAACCUUAAUUGGGACCCAUCAAUUUAAUCUUAAUAUGUGCACAGCAUAAAUGUUGAGUACGAGAAAGUAAAGGUGUAUAGGACAAAAAGGUAGUGAUCAAGGACACGACUUGCCUUCUUGGCCUUGCUCCUGCUGUUCGUACUCCUCGAAGGCUUGAUCGGCAACUCCCUCGAACUGCGGGGCGUCUACACGCAUCACACGAGCACAUACAAGCAAACAUGGGCAAAAGUAAGAAAACAGUAUACCAAACAUAGUCAAACAGAGAAAACAAGCUUGAAAAGAUGAUCUACGCUUUAAAACGAACACGCGGAUAUAAAGAACGCGAAAAACGGAGUUAAGAUGCAAAAGAUAUGAUUAAAACAAAAUCCAGGGACUUUUCUGUAAGAAAAACAAAACUUUUAGGGCCUAUCCGCGAAAACCGAGGGCUUAUACGUAAUUAUGCGUAUAAACCGAGGGUCUGAUGCGUAAAAACAUCAAACCCGGACGGCGGGUUGAUUUCUGGAAAGGUCAAGGGUUAAACCGAAAAAUGCGAGGGCAGAUCUGUAAAUACUUUCAACGCGAUCUGGACCGCGGGUUGAUUUGCGAAAAAGGCGGGGGCUAAAGUGCAAAAACUGCACGGCGCGGCUCGGUUGACCGGUACGCGAUCUUGAUUGACUCGCGUCCGGCCGUCGGAUUAAGAUCCGACGGUCGCGGUGAUCCGCGACAUCGCGGCGGCGGCGGCGAGCGGCGGCGAGCGGCGGCAAGCGGCGGCGGGUCGCCGGAGUUAGGCAAAAUAGCGCCACGAGGCACGGUUUAACGCGCGGGUUGCACCAAAAAAGAGAGGGGAACACGUCGAUCCCGUUUUGGGGGUUCUUGUCGACGGGGGCUCACCGGCGACGGCGAACGGCGGCGAGGAAGAGGCGGCGGCGCUAGGAGCUCGGGCGGCUAGGGUUUCGGGGAGCUGCGGCGCUGGUUUUGGGCGGAGGAGACUGGGAGGAGGCGGCGGCUUUUAUAGGGCUUGGAGAUAGAGCCGGCGCGGGUUCAAAUCCCCCGGAGGAGUCGGAGCGGAUGGAGUCCGGGGCGGAGACGGCGCGCGGCGGUUGCGGAGUUCUGACCGGAUUCGGCCGGAGGUGGGAGACGAUGGGUGGGGUCCACCCGUCAGUGGCGGAGGGGAGCGGUAGACGGGCCGGCGCGACCGUGGGCUGGCGCGCGCUCGUGGGCUGCGGGGAGCGGGAGAGAAGCGGCGAGCGGGCGCUGGCGGAGCAGGCCGAGCGGAGGUAGAGCUGGGCCGCGGAGAAAAAGGAGGAGGCCGGCGGGCUGCUUCGCAGGCCGGUAAGGAUGAGGCGGCCGGGCCGAAGAAGAAAAAGAAAAGGAGGGACAAGGAGCUUUCGGCCGAGGGAAAAGAAGAAGAAAAAGAAAAGGAAGAAGAAAAGGGAAAAGGUUUUGGAAUUUGAAUUUAAAUCUGAAAUUCAAAAUUUGAUUCAAACUCAAGCAACCAAAAAUUAUGCUCCAGCAUGAAUGCACAAAUAAUUCCUAUGAUGAAUUAAUUGAAUUAAAGAAAAUGAAUUUAAAUGCCUAGAAAUUAAAUAACACCCUAAUUUGAGCAAAUUUUAAUGAAUUUGAAUUAUUGAAAUUUUGGGUGUUACAUUGGUACUACAUCUCAUGUAGUAGAGGCGAUUGUAAGAAGCAACUUGAAAAGAAGUUUGAUCACUACUAUUGCAAUAAAUGUGACAAGAGAGCCGAACCUAAAGCCCAGUAAAUUAUUUAGUAGUUUACAAUCUUAUUAUAAUACUUCUAUUUCUAAUAGGAGAAUAAUAUUUUCAGAUUCAAAUUAAGCUUCAAAUAAGUGAUCCAACAACAAGUGCAACUUGUGUACUUUUGACAAGGAAGCAGAAAUGAUAAUUAAUGAAUGAGCAGAUUCGAUGAUCACCUCAGUUGAUCAUGAUAAUAAGUAGCUACCAAAAUCAAUUCAGGAAAUAUGUGAAGAAACAUUGAUUUCUCAAUUCAGAUUGACCGAGUACAACUUGACAAGUUUUAGACCUGAUUAUACUGUUUCAAAGAUAUUUUUUCCAAAAGAAAAGGGCAGUUCAAGAAUUGGUAUGGAAAGUGUAAAAAAGGUAACACUUUAUUAUUAAUUUUUUAUUGCACUUUUUUCUUUUGAAUCCGUAAUACUUAAUAAUUUUACUAUAUCAAUGAAACAAAUUCUAACCUAAAUUUAUUUUCUUUUUUAUUAUUUGUAGGAAGUAGAAGACAACUCAGACAAAUGCUACACGAUAACUACCGAGAAUGAAGAGGUAGACACUGAUGACUCUUUUACCGAGAAAGUAACAUUCGUAGAAGAAGCCAUAAGGACUGGGGAAAGAUUGGCUAGAAAAGUAUACUCACUUCCAUGUCAGUGUUCAUUCUAUUUACAAUACAUGCAAAAAAAAUAUUAUUCAUGCAAAAUUGCAGGUCUACUAAGCAUUAAAGGAAUAGCGGAUAGUGCAAUAUGUAAUCUGAGCAGCAUGCAUUACAAAGUGCUCUACUGCAAUUAAAUUAAAAAACAUGAUAUAUGUUGAAUUCUUAGACUUUAUUAUUAUACUUUUCUACGUGACAAUUCACAAUUUUUUAGAAAAAAGAAGAUCCCAGAAGAAGUGACCAUGAAAAAAGGUCUAUGACCAGCAAUAAGAAAAAAUGCAAGCAUAGAAACAAAUCCGUAGAAAACAUAGAAAAUAAGGUACUCCAUAAACAAAAGUAUUCUCUUAUAUUUUUAUUAAAUAUUUUUUUAACACUUGACAAGUUCUUUUUUAGGAUCAAUAUAUCAGCAAUUCAGAUGUCAUUGGAGAUGAAACCUUAGUUCAUCCAAAAGGUCAAAAAAAAACAUCUGAAGAAAGGUGUUUGGCUGAAAAGGAAAAGCAAAAAAGUGGUAAUGCAGACAAACACAUGCAGAAAAAUAUAAAAACAUGUCAUAGGGAGGCAGACCAAUCUUGCAAGGAGGUAUAGACGAAACGUGAUACACGACCUGCCUACCUUGUCGUGGAUACCCCAAGAAGAUGUCAUAGAGGUGCAGACCAAGCUAGCAAGGAGGUCGAAACGUGAUACACGGCCUGCCUACCUUGCCGUGGAUAUUAGCCCUGAGAUCAUUCUACUGUUCAAGGAAUAACACUCAAUGCUGCUGCUGCUGCUGACCUGGCUCCAUAAAGUUAUACUCCUCUAGGUGCUUGCACUAACUUUAUCUGAAGUAUUAUUCUCUCUGCACUGUAUAUAUGGUUAUGGAGUUUGCUGGAGUAUCCGGGGCGAAGAACCUACAUAAUACGUCUUGGAACUAAUUGACAUUGAUUCACAGACAAACUCUACAAGGUGCUGUUCUUGCCAUUUUAGAGCAUCCAAAGGACUAUAAAUAACAUAGUUUACCAUAUACCAUAUACCAUAUACCAUAAUAUGUUAGCUAAAAUAAGAGCAUACACAUGUUGCAGGAGUCCAAAAGCACCGGUUGAGGACCAGGUACAUUGAAUUACUAGAAAAAGACAGGGGACAAGGUUUAGGUAACCACAUGAAACAUUUGAAUUUAUUGUACUAUGAACACUUAGUUACCAUGCCAGGAGCACAUAGUUAACACUAACAUUUAGCCACUUUAGAUCAUCCCGAAUCACCAAUGACCCUCAAUAGUGACAAAUUUUGGUUUAAAUGCCAUCACCAAUGAUCCUCAAUAGUGACGUAUUUAGGUUUAAAUCCCGUCACUAAUAACCCUCAAUAGUGACCUGUUUUGGUUUAAAUCUCAUUACCACUGAUCCUCAAUAGUGAUGUGUUUUAGCAAAACAUGUUAUCAAUGACUUGUCAUUGGUGACGUGUUAAAACGCGUUAUCUCAAUGGCAAAUCAUUGGUGACGUGUUAUCUCAAUGUUAUCAAUGUUCUAUUCUUUUCAACAAUACCAGCUCGUUCCUCCGUUUUUAUUCCACCAAUACAAGCACCACCUUGUAACAUUUCCUAUGUUUUUUUUCCUUUUGUCUGUUUUCUCACUACAUGCGUUGCUCUUUCAUGCAUUUUUUUCCAUUCCUGUAUUCCAAAUAGGUCUACAUGAACACAAAAUGAACUAGGGGACAGAAAAAGCCAGUGAAGCCAAUUUUGAGCUUCACCAGCUACUUGCUACAUAAAGUGUGCUAUAGUGACGUGUUUUAGCAAAACAUGUUAUCAAUGACUUGUCAUUGGUGACGUGUUAAAACGCGUUAUCUCACUGGCAAAUCAUUGGUGACGUGUUUUAAAAAAACAUGUCACCGUGAGAGUCAUUGGUGAAGGGUAAUUAAAAUGCGUCACUAAUGUUGUAGCAUUAGUUAUGAUAAUUUAGUAACGCAAAAAUCUACCAUCAGUAUUGAGCUUUAGAGCCAUCGCUAAUGUGGGUUUCUUACAUAGUGAUGCAAGCUCUACAAGGUGCUGUUGCUGCCAUUUUAAAGCAUCCCAUGACUACAUGUUAAUAACAUAGUUUACCAUAUAUCAUAAAAAUAUUAGUUACAAUAAGCACAUACGCAUGUGGAAGAGUCCGAAUGCACCGGUUGAGGACUAAACACAUUGAAUUACUAGAACCAAAUGUAUGUUUAGAACAAAGACAGGGGUCAAGGUUUGGGUAACCGCAUUAAAAACAUUGGAUUUUACUGUACAUGAACACUUAGUUACCAUUACCAUGCCUUGAGCACCUAGUUACAACAAACAUUAAUUUAGCCACUUUAGAGCUUCCAGAAUCGCUAUAAAUAAUAUACCUACGCCGUACCAUGAAAACAUCAAGAAGAGAGACGGAUACAUGGACCACCAUCAAGCGAGUAGUGACAGCACGCACAAGAAUACCCGGAACCUGUUAGCUUGUCUGUAGUGAUCUGUUUUCUUCCCCAUAAAAUCCAUGAGUAUUGCCACAAAUAAUGAAAGAGGCUGACCAAGCUAGCAAGGAGGUAGAGCAAACGUGAUACACGGCCUGCCAAGAUUGCCCUGGAUACGCCAAUAAGAGCGACAGAUACAUGGAUCACACCAAUAUGGUGAAACGUAUAUUCAUCACACAAGCAAAGCUGGUCAGUUUAUCCAUGGUCAAAUUGUGGUCUUUGUUUUCACUUGAGAGCUAAUUGAGGCACUAUAAUAUGGGCAGGCCUAUCUUCAACAGACAUGACAGCUACAGGGAACUUGACAUAAUUUGCUGGGCCGCCUGUGCACAAUUAUUUGUUUUAUUGUCCUUGCAUAGAAUGCUAAAAUACUCUUUACAAAAUGUUGGAUCUAAUAUUUGAAAUAUAGAGUAGUAAUCAUAUAUUGAUCAACAACUUGAAAUUAUCUGUACAUUCUCGGUGAAGCUGUUGAACUAAUUUUUGCAAAUUAUUAAUUCAUCUCAUUACGUAAAGAAAAAAGUAAGUGGAUAAGAUAUUUCGUGGACCACAUCACUGCAAACAUGUCAUGGAGAGACAGACCAAGGAGGCAGGACGUGAUACACGACUUACCCUAGGUUGCCGUGGAACCGCCAAGAAGAGAUACAGAUACAUGGACCACACCAUCUUGGGAGUAGUGACAGCAUAUAUGCAGAAGAAUACCCCGUGCCUAUUUGCAUGCAUGUCUCAAGUGAUCUGUUUUCUUCAGAAAAUACAUGAGCAUUGCCAGAAAGAAUGGCAAGAGACAAACAUGUCAUAGAGACUUGCAUGUCUUGCCUUGGAUACGCCAAGAAGAGGGACACAUACAUGGAUAACACAAAUCUAGUGACACGUAUAUUCAUCACAAAGGCAAAUCUGAUAAUUUUAUCCAUGGAGCAGACCAAGGAGAAAUUGAUGACGGACAUGUGAUCUCUGUAUUCAGUUGAAAGCUAAUUGAGCUACACUAAUAUGAGCAGGACUAUAUUCAAGAGACUUGUUGAGAGCUACAGGGAACUUGUAAUAAUUUGCUGGGCGGCCUGCGCACAAUGAUUUGUUAUACAUAGUUGAAAUAUUUCAAGAAUUUAUCAACCUCAUACUCUGAAACCCUUGGUGCAAUGUACUCUGCUUUCCGAGGUAGACUGUUCACGUAAAAUGAGGUCAUGCGUAAGACGGAAUCGGAUUGGAUUCACAGGGAAUCAGAUUUGGAUAGCACCUUUUAGCAGGUUUUUAGUCAAAUGCAAAUUCGGAUCCACAUGUGGUUGAAUGCGAGUUCAAAAUUCUACUUGGAUAUCCAUUUAAUUUAGGUGAUAGCAAUUAGCACAAAAUGUUGGAUGAACAAAAUCAUAGUUAGACAUACAAUUACAUGUAUGGUUAAAGUAUAAUACAAUACACCAAGAUUAUUCCUUGAAAAUAUUUCUUAAAAAUAUUAUAAUAAAUGAAUAAAUAUAAUUGUGGCCACCAACAAAUAGUCGGUGGUCGCUAAGUUGGAGCCAUUUCUGGUUACUAAUGCGGCCUUCUCCUCGACCAGCGACGACAGCUGAGCUUGUUCCUUCUGACACUAAAUCAUCAGAGUCUUCCCUCCACUACUAUAGAAUGCACCUUUAGCACCAAUUGGGAAAUCCCCUUCAGUAUUGGAUGCUGCAACCAGUGCUAUAUAUCAAAAUGGAGACUAAAAGCCUCGGUCUUGGGUACCGGUUGCAUAACGCAUUACUAAAGGAGGCAAAAGAGAAAUGUAACAAAAAAAAUAUUUUGAAUUCCAAGAAUGUUUCACUAUUCAAGAUGACUAGCUGAGAGUCAACAGACAAGAUACUAGGAAUGUGGGUGCUUGAAUGCAUUUGUACAGAGGUCAUACUAUUUACAAACUCUUCUAUGUUUCCAUAUGACUACCUACUUCAAUGUCACGCGAGCCAUUCAGCUGGACACAUGGCACACUAGCUUGCAUGUCGAAUCCAUGAUUAAUUAUUUGCACUUGUGAUCUCUUACCAGUAUUUGUCCAGACUAGAAACGUGCAACACAUUUUUAGGAUAUGGACACGCAUAUAUUUGGACUAGUAUACAGGUCACCUUUGGAUGCGUACAAGGAUGACCGGGAGGGACUAAUGGAUACAAGGAAGGGACCAUCAGGAUUAAUAUUGACAUAUGCCACAUGACAAUCUUCAUUGUCAUGCAAUCCCUAUCAACAAUCAUGGAAUCCCUAGUGUACUAAUCCCUGGAGGGUUGUGUGGAAAUUUAUUUUACCUUGCGGUGAAAAUCUCAUGAGCAGUCAUUAGUUAAGCUGACUAGCUGAGAUAUAAUAGACAAGCUAGUAAGAUUGGGAGCAUCAAUGCAUCCAUACAGGGUCACAAUAUCCUUUCCAUUCACUUUUAUAUAUAACCCUACGAAUACAAGUCCAACGAAAUGCGGGCCUUUCGAUCAAGAUAAAUUAAAUGGCCCACUUGUAUUUCUAAUCCAGGAUUAACUAUGCCCUCUGUUCAUCUCUUGCAAGCACGUGCAACACAUUUUCACGAUAUGGACAUGCAUGGAGGUUAUUAUACUGUUUGGACAAACUCUGAUGUGCCAUGACCUAAAUGCUUAGGGCCUGUUUGGUUUGAGUUGCUUAUUAUAAGCAACUUAAAGUUGCUUAAAGUUGCUUAUUUGAAGUUGCUUAUUUUUAGUCUAAACUGUUUGGAUACCCUUGCUUAUGAGCAUUGAAUGAGUUGGACAUUGUCAAAUUUGCCCCAUGUGUUGCUACCCCUCCAAUUUGCCUCCCCACCCUUCUUCUUCCUGCACACGUCCGAUCCCGGGGGCCGACGGCGGGCAGGGAGCAGCAGCAGCUGGCCAGGGCGGCGGUGGGGCGGGAGCGGCGGCGCACACCAGCACGCGCUCGCACGCCAGGUGCUAGGGCGCGGCGAGGCAGUCGUCGUAGCCCACCGGGAGCGGGUGCUCGGGCGCGAGGCGGUACUCGACGGAGAUGCCGAGCGUCGGGCGCGCGGCGGCGAGCGCGUUGAGGAAGCGAUGGUAGUGCGGCGACGUCGCGGACUCCGCCACGAAGCCGCCGCCGUGGACGUACACCACCACGGGCAGCUUCGUCUUGCCGUCGGCGGCCGCGGCCGCGGCCUGGGGUGGCAGGUAGAGGCGGACGGAGCAGGAGCCGAGGUCGACGUCCCUGGAGUCGACGCCCGUGGCGGCGUCCAGGCUGGGCCCGACCGGCGGCGGCACGAGCGGGCGCUCGAUGCGGCCGCUCUUGUAAAUCCGACGGGUCUGUGCGGAGGCGGGCGGCGGGCGGGAGCGGCGGGUGGGAGCGGCGGCAGGUGGUGCGGAGGCCGGCGGCGGCGGGUGGCGCGGAGGAAGGGGAGCUGGUGAGUGGUGACAGGGGAGGGGGGGAGAGAGAGGGGGGGUAGGGUGCAUUGAAUGAGGGCAGGAGGUGUAAAGUGCACCUUUUAGUCCCCAUGAGCAACCAUAAGCAGCCCAAGAGUUGCUUAUUUGCUUAUAAUAAGCAACCUCAUAAGCAAGAGUGAUUGGUUUCAUAAGCAACUUAUUUGCUUAUUUUAAGUUGCUUAUGCAUAAGCAUGUGAAACCAAGCAGGUCCUUAACCUAUGGUUGUGGCACCACACAGUACAUAGUAUUUAAUAAUGCUAUUCGUUUGGUAUGUGCACAAGGGCACGCAUGAAAUGUCUGGCCCACGGUAAACAAGUACGGACGCUGCAAAUAAUCUACUCUGCUCGUCCAGUCCCUAGCCUAUAAAUAGAUGCCAUGCUAGCUCUUGUUGUGCUCACAAUUAAUCCUGACUACACACGAGCUUCUCUCCCUGGCCAAGACACAAUCAUAGUAUGAUGAAGAACAUGGCACUAGCCGGCAAUGGUAUGAAGAACUUAAUCCUCGCUGUUCUCUUACUGUGUCUAGUUAUAGGGCAGAUACAAGUGGAAGCUAAGAGCUGCUGCCCAUCCAUUACUGCAAGAAAUAUCUACAAUGCCUGCCGUAUCACGGGUACAUCCCGUCCAACGUGUGCAAAACUGUCAGGCUGCAAAAUUAUCAGCGGGGACAAAUGCAAGCCCCCUAACGACCACCUCACCCUUGACCCGGACACUGGUAAAUAAUAAAUUUAUCUCACUUGAUUUCUUCGUGUUUUGAGUCGUUAAUGUAUUUUCCAUCUGAUGAAACGUAUUGGUUUUGCAUUGAAGAGGAAGUUAAUGUGCUUAACUUCUGCAAGUUGGGGUGUGCGUCGUCUGUGUGCAACAACAUCAACGCUGGUAAGCACCUUUUGCUCAGACGGAGAAAACAAUAAUCAUUAAUUAGCGGCAGCUAGAAUCCUAUAAUCUAAUAUAUUUAUAUAUAUAUAUAAUUUUAUCAGCUCUGGGAAAUGAAGAGGCGAACGAUGCCGUUGAGAGUUGCGACCAAGCCUGCUCUAGCUUCUGCAACGUGCACGUUGGCGCUGCCACCGUGGUUGCUUAAGCAAAUGCAUCCAACUGGAUCGUCCUUGUGCUAAAUAAUUGGAUAUCGUAUCCACUUAAAGCUGCCUUGUGUAGUACGUUUUUGUUUGUGUCUCUCUUUAUAUUCCAAUAAGGUCGGUGAUCUUGAUGCCACACACUCAGACGUGUGUUCAUCUCCAGAUACUACUCCAUGCUACCUGCCCUUUGUGUUUUGUUCAAUAACUGGGUAUCAUAUCCCAGCCAGUGUGCCAUCUGUUUUGUGUUUAUUUCCUUCUAGUUUCAAAGGGGUUAUCAUGAUGUUACCUUCUUUCGAUAUGGUGCUUUGCAUGACUACUGUUGUAUGGUACCAUCUUGUUGGCCAAUAAAUACAUCUUAUCCUAUGACCCUUUGCUAUGACCCUUUGCAAAUAAGUACAAGAUUGUUAAAUACUCGGUAUAAAUUGACUACUGCUGUGAGUUCCCUUUCAGCUUAUCGUAGGCAUACAUUAUUGCUAGCACGGUGAAGACAACCAACACGAAUGGUCAAGUAAACGUACCGGUACUUUUGUAUACCAACACCCUUGCUUAAAUGUACCGGUGUUACUCCCCACUAGCACAUAUAUUCUUAUAUGCUAGCCGGCUUGAAAAUUAACCGAUUAAAAUAAUUAUUUCAAGACAGAAAUAACUUAUCGGCUUCUCGAAGCAUGUGUAAUGUGAAUUCAAGGACUUGAUGGAAGUUGAAUCGCUUAAUCUAGAUUGCUUUCAGGAUUUUGGGUAACUAAAUUUAACAUUUGCACAUACAAAUGUUAAUGUACAAAUAUUAAAUAUAGUUACCCAAGCAGAAUAUGAAGAUACUCUAUAGUAUAUAUAUACUAUAUAAAUCUAGUUAACAUUUAGUCUAAAUGUUAAAUCUAGUUACCUAAAAUCCUGAAAGCAAAAUGUAUAAAUAUAUAUCUUUUAAGGAAUCCCAAAGCAAGAGUUCAGUGGCAUUCUAUAGUCCCAUGCUGCUAGUUUGAGUUGGUCGAAGCCAACUUAAAUAGGAGAGCUCUCUCACUUCUCUAAAUACGUAACUGAAGGAGAGAAGGGGGCUUGGUUACACAACGCACGCACGCACGCAUAUUUGCGUUCUUUUCGCGUAACCAACCGCGUGACUUGAAACUUGCGACGUAGCGUGCUGCCAAGUCAAGUUGAUAUAACCUUUUUGCCGUAGGCGUGUAAUCUUUUGACAACGGUCAUUGGAGGUGAUAAGCACGCAGUCAAUACCUUAAUCCUGAGUUAAUAGGGCGGUUACUACUGCCAAUUAGUGGGGCAAUUUUGUAGGGGAAACGGUUAGCAGAGGGCUACCAUCUUCUCUAUAAGAAGUUCUGGAGACGUCCAGGAACACACAUGUACAUGUGAGAGACCCACGAAUUCCUUCCCAUCUCCCUUUUCCAUCUGGUGAAGUGUGCUAUGGUACUGAGCUGCUGGAUCUCGCCGGCUCUUCUCCUUGGCGUGCACCGAGGAGGAGGGUGAGCGGUAUCUCCGAGCUAUUGCCGUCAGGAAGCCUGCACGAGGGACAACAAUAAAGUUUUUGGGUAGCGCAACUACGCAACCGCUCGAUUCGAUCGACUAUGUUCUGCGCUGCCUCAUCUUCGAUCUGCACUGCAACACGUAACCCUGCAGCAAGUCUACACAAGGACGGAGCACUAAUCUGUAAGUCCUAGAUUGGUUUCUUACAGAGUUGUAGGUUACACAAGAUCUAGAAUUGUUACAUACUUAUUAUUAUGGGUUACAUGAUGUUUUGUACGGUUACGUCUAUUUUGCAUAUGCUAUUUUUACAUACCGUUUACAUGCAUAUGUAAUGGUUACGCCUAGCUAUUUGAAUCUAGAAUUGGGUUACAUAGCAGUAGCAAUGACUUACGUAAUAUGCCUCAUGUUUAUAUCUGGUAGAAUUUAACACGUAUCUCCAACAUAUUUUGAGGCAGUAUAAAUUUCAAUUCCUUUUGCUGCUCUGUUAAAUCCCGUCUUUCGUGUGGCCCAACACUCUAGUAUGCAUGUAGCACCAAGCUUGUUUGAGCCGCUUUGUGCUCUGAUUUUGCUGUCUGUAUCAGGUUGGACUGUUUCUUUGUCUUGCGAUGUAUAGCUUCAUAUCUUCUAGAGGUUAGACAGCAAAACCCGCGUUCUCUUAAGGCAACAACUCGAAGAAUCUGCAGCGCUCCUGAUAUAUCACUGCUGCAGAAACAAUCUUUAGUACUGAUUUCCAACCCCCUUUAGUAUCGGUUUGGCAAUCAGUACCACUACGUCGGUACUAAAGGGAGUUCUCUAGAAUCGGGUCAAAUAACUGGUACUAAAAGUGCUCCUCUACUACCAGUUGGUAACACCAAUAGGUAGUAACUUUUUUUGCACCCAAAAAAUUAAAGAAAAACAGCCGGGAGGCUCGCGCACACACGCAUCAUGAGUAAUAUGCGCGUGCAUGGUUUGUGGGAUUCCAACCCACGACCAAGCUAUAAGCACGUAGUUACAAAAAAAUUAAACACUUAGACAUUUUAGAGCAUCCCAAAUAACUACAAAUUCUUUAGUUUACCAUAUACCAUAAAAUAUUAGUUAAAAUAAGAGCAUACGCACGUCGGAAGAGUCCCAAUGCACCGGUUGAGGAUCAGACCAGGCACUUUGAAUGCACAUGCCAUAAGAUAAUUCUGCAGGACGAUGAUUGCAAUAAUGGACCAUCGAGAAGAUAGGGGCGAUGGGGUUGCCUCAUCAAUUAUGACUUGGCGCAACAAGACCAGCAAAGUCUUUAUCGACAGGGGUGGAUCAAGGGGUGGGGCGGGUAGAGCUCCAAUCUUCCUACCGCCGCUCGAACAAUGGAGCCCCCCUUAGCCCCUCCAUAAAUUUUUAGGUAGAAGAAAAAAGAAGAGAAGGGAAGGAAGGGGAAGAAUAGGGAGCCCCUCCUAAGUAGGUCGCCAUCGUGCUUCCCAACGCAUGAUCGCCGCACCGCAUCCAUUCCUCUACAAGCCUCCAGCGUCUCUCCUGCCGCUACCUCUGAACCAUGUGCAGCUGCAGACCCAACUAGUGUCUUGUCACCCAUCUCAAUCCCAACAGAGCGGCGGCUCCUGCCAGCACAAAUCUCCCUCCGCCUGUUCUUCACGAUCGAUGGCCACCACAAGCAUAAACCUCGCCUUCGCAUCCACGCAAAAGGGUCGCCGGUGUGCCUUCUCGCAUCGCUUCUCAGCCUCCUUCACUUGCGGCUGGCCAAGAACCGUGCCACCACCUCGGGUGCGCGCCACCGCUCCAGGGCCGCUACCCCAUGCGUGCGGCCGCCGCCGGCCACCACGCGUGUGCAACCGUGUCGCACCGCUUCCCUGCUCUGUGCCACCACUGCUACUGCACCACCAGCUCCACCACCUUGGGCUGGUCGCCAGGGUGACUGAUUGGUGGAUUAUUACUACAAAUAAGUUCCUUAUUAUCUGCAACUACUAUUAACUCAGGGAUACAUGCGUCUUUUGCUUCUCCUGUUAAUAUGUCCUAAAAUAUCUAGAAUGCCUUAUAUUUCUGGACGGAGGAAGUAUUUGAAUAAAAUGAACCAAUUUUAAAAAAUGUGUUGUACACUACUACAGAAAGAACUAUCAGUGUCAAACCCAAAAAUGUCGUCACUGCCAGUUUUGGGCAUCGUUGGUGAAAGGUUGGCGGUGAUGGGUAUCCCCUUCAACAACGGCACUAGAGCUAACAGUGAUUGACAUUAGAAAACGAAAAAGGGGACCCACCUAGCCACCCCUGCAACCCGGCUGGCCGUGCCUCCCGUCAUCCCCACCACCUCGCCUCCCCCGUGACCCCCCGCCGGCGCCCUUGCGCCUAGCCCCCUCGCCUGCCUGGCCGGCCACCCUCGUCACGAGAGAGAGGGGUGCAUGUUGUAUAAUUGCGUGAAUUUUUAAUGUUUAAUUUCAUGUAAGUUUCAUAUAAUAAAUUGUACAAGUUUUAUUGUAUAUAUGAAUUCCAUAUAUAUAUAUUUAUAAUUUAAUGUAUGGUUUCAUGUGUAUAUUUCAAUAAUGUGUAUAUUUAGUAGAUAGCCGAUUUUCUUUUUCUACAAGACAAGGGUUGAUGUAUAAUUACGUGUAUAUGUUUAUUGUACGGGCAAUUAGGACAAGUUUUGUAUAAAUUUCUUUUAUUUCAUGGUUGUUGUAUGGUUUCAUGUAUAUACAUUUAUUGUACUACUUGAGACAAUUUUUAAUUUAAUGUUUCUAUGGUUACAUGUGUGUAUAACUAAUUGUAUUAUUAGUUAAGAUGGGAGCCAAAGAGGAUGAAAGGUAUAUAAUGGAGCAGAUUAUUGCUGGCGGUAGUGGCUCAAACGUUGCAAGAACCUACAUCAAGGGUGAGGGUAGCUAGGUGGACAUGUACCUCAACAUGUCCAGUGAUGGCAAUGACGAUGAGGAGCACGAGCAUGACGUUUAUGAUAGUGCGGAACAAGACAUUGCAGAAUUGGAAGGUUCUAAUGAGGUGUGCUUCAUGUUGAUGAUCUGGUUGGCUUUUUUUCUUUGGUCACACCUUAGUUACCAUAGAACUUCGUCUCGGGAGAAGAUUGGAGGUGCUAUGGUGAUUGGAAUUUUAUUGCCUCCAAAUAUGAUUUCCAUCGAAUCAUAUCCCUUGUAUUUAUCUUCUUUUUAUUUGUGAGAGCAUCUUCUUUAUGCUUGCAAAACAAUUCAAGUGCACAUACUACACCUAGGGUGAUGAUUAGGAGUAGAAACAAUUGCCAACAAACGAACACCACAUCCUAAGAUUCUUAACUUGUGGUAUAAUUAGUCUAGUAAAAAGAAAGAUAAAAACCUAAUGGGUGUACGUGAGUGCAAUGCGUAUAUGCAUAUGAGUGGAAGGCAUAUAAGCAAAGAUAAUAUUUACACAUAGAUCUAAGCACCAUGUUUACAACUAAGUUGCUGAAUUUCUCCAUAGCUAUAGAGAUUAAUGAACCAAGGUCAAAACACCAUGUCUAUCCCAAGAUCAGUAAUUCUUUAUAGCACAAGAAAAAGAAAGCGCAUUGCAAAGUUUAUAAACCAACCAAUGCAGCAUGAAAACAAGAUGAAUAGCUAGCAAGGUUUAUUAAACUGAAUGAUGACGGUCUGCAAGCAAGUUUGAACACCAUCUUUACACAAGAUUGCAAAUGGAAAAUUCCCAUAUGAAGAACUAACAUGGAUAUGAAAUCAUUCAUCAUAAAGCGUAAAGAACAACCAAGCCAACCAUAUGCAAAGCAUGAAUGGAAUGCAAUGAAGGUGCAAGAGAACAUUUUUGGAUGAACCCAUUAUGAUGAUGGCAAAAUGCGCCGUGCCCCCCAGCCCCCGCGGUGAGAUCCCGCCGCUCGCUGCCGCCAGACCCUAUUAGGCCUCCACCGGCAGGUCCACCCACGGUCCCGCGCGACGUGGCAGCCUCUUGGCUCUCGGCGCUCGCGGCACGCCAGUGCUGGCGCAGCCCCACCAGGCGACUACCCUCCCCCCAUAAGGCCUCGGCCCCUCCCCAGCGCCGCCCCCCAACACCAGGACUGCCUGCUGCCCCCCACCGUGAGGUAAUCGAAAUCGACUGCUCAAUCUCUCAAUCUGUUGAUAUGAUGCACACGGUUGCAAAAAUAGAUGUGUCAAAAUAGAUGUUUUGCCAAUUGCUAUAGAUGCAUACGGUUGACAUGAAGUCAAAAAUGACAUUUGGUUCCUUGUAGGCAGUCAAAAAUGAAGAAGUCAAAAAAUAUUGAUCUGAAAUCAAUGUGGGAAAGGGCUAUGAAGACACGCAGGUAGAUUCCCUUGUGAACUUUUUAUGUCGUUCGUCUAAAUAAUUUUUUGCAAUGGGCAUACCCUACUCUGAAAUCCUGGGUCCGCCACUGAUGAUGAUGGUCUAAAAAUAAACCAAGCCUAGAUUAAUUAGCCACAACUGAAAUUAAGCAAAGGUUAAUGUCAUUGACCCUAGCUCUAUCCUAGCUUUUACCAAAGUUCCGGCACAUAUAGUGGUUGGGCCCACUCUCUCUGCUUCCCUCUCUGCUGCAUGCACGCACACGAGCAACGGGAGGCCCGACGAAGCCCAGAAGGGUUCGGCCGAACCAGUAUGAGCGCCGCUCCCUCCCAGCCUUCGCGCAGAUGCUCCUCCAACGUUCCUUGACCCCUCCCUCAGCGUCCCGUUGGGUUUAACAUUGCAGGAGAGGAGUCCCUUUUUUAAAAUCUCAACCACCUCCUCUCCCCAUUCACUCCACUCUCAUCUCCAUCAAACUCACCAAGAUCCGCACCGGAAAUCCCUGCUUACCACCAUGGCUGGCAAAGCCCUCAUCCCUUUCACCAACUUGGGCUUGACCACUGAUCUCGAUGGGGAAAUCACUCUGGCAAAUAUGCGUGUAACACUGCCCCCUUUGCCGAGGGUUAAAGCCAAAACACUCAGCAAAGUGGAUAGUACCCCCCUUUUUACCCGUUUUGUCAUGUAUAACGGACCCCUCUCAAUUCACAAUAGACAUCAUCAUAGGCAUUUAUAAUAAACAAUCACAGGCAUAAUUCACAAUCACCAUUACAAGCAUUAUUCAUAAAUAUCACAGACAUAAUCCAAAGUAAGCAUGAAACAAGCCAUAAAUCCAAGUUCAAGUCACAACUAAGUUUCAUCCAAGUUCAAGUCACAAAUGCAAUGUCUAAAUCCAUGGAGGCCAAGGAGACCACUGCGACAAAUCUUGGUCUUCAUUAUUCGAAGCCGCCGAUUGAUUCUGCACAUAGGAUAGGACAUUCUGAGCUAACAUCUAAAGUUGUCAAAAUUAAAGUAUUCAAUCUUAAGCACAAUGUGUCAAAUGACUCACAGGAGUAGUUGUGGGUGGCUGAGGCGGAGGGAACAGCAUCGAUGGCGGUGGCAAAGAUUGACCCAUGCUCGAAGCAAAAUUCUGCAUGUACUGGAACAUCUGGUCCAUCCUCAUCCGAUUUUCUUCCUCCAUCCUCUGCCGCUCGGCCUCUAACCUCCGCUGAACCAUCUGCUCCAUCCUCGCCGCCAUCUCCUCUUGUUGCUUCCUUGCUGCUUCCACCUGGGCCUACAAUAUUUCAUUGCAAUGUUACAAUGCAAAGCUAAAGUAUAGCAACCAACGAACAAUGAAUGGAAGAGAAAGAACCUGGAGAGCCUCCAUCUGGAACUGUCCAAUGGUUGGUCGUAGCCGUAUCGCCGGGCUCGAGUCCGUGCUCCUUGCUUGGAUCUGGGAGAGAGUGGCAGUAGAGGCCGUGUUGAUUACGCCGUCGCCAAUCCAAUAUCGGCCAUGCUUCUUGCCUCCUCCCACCCUCAUCACGAUUUCUCCAUCAAUAUCCUCAGAGCUUGAAUCGAAGUCUGGCCCGUGAACCUCCCUUGCCAUCACUGUAUAUUCCUUUGCCGAGUGCCCGAGAUAAAGCACUCGGCAAAUAGAAAACACUCGGCAACUUUACUGUUUCCCGUAGUGUCGCUAUUUUUGCAGGUUCUCGACCAGGCCAGUUCUUUGGGCCAACCUAUCAUUCACGACUUAAACAUACGGUGGCUGUAGAAAUGUUCUAUUCUUUUCAACAAUACCAGCUGGUUCCUCCGUUUUUAUUCCACCAAUACAAGCACCACCUUGUAACAUUUCCUAUGUUUUUUUUUCCUUUCGUCUGUUUUCUACAUGCGUUGCUCUUUCAUGCAUUUUUUUCCAUUCCUGUAUUCCAAAUAGGUCUACAUGAACACAAAAUGAACUAGGGGACAGAAAAAGCCAGUGAAGCCAAUUUUGAGCUUCACCAGCUACUUGCUACAUAAAGUGUGCUAUAGUGACGUGUUUUAGCAAAACAUGUUAUCAAUGACUUGACAUUGGUGACGUGUUAAAACGCGUUAUCUCAAUGGCAAAUCAUUGGUGACGUGUUUUAAAAAAACAUGUCACCGUGAGAGUCAUUGGUGAAGGGUAAUUAUAAUGCGUCACUAAUGUUGUAGCAUUAGUUAUGAUAAUUUAGUAACGCAAAAAUCUACCAUCAGUAUUGAGCUUUAGAGCCAUCGCUAAUGUGGGUUUCUUACAUAGUGAUGCAAGCUCUACAAGGUGCUGUUGCUGCCAUUUUAAAGCAUCCCAUGACUACAUGUUAAUAACAUAGUUUACCAUAUAUCAUAAAAAUAUUAGUUACAAUAAGCACAUACGCAUGUGGAAGAGUCCGAAUGCACCGGUUGAGGACUAAACACAUUGAAUUACUAGAACCAAAUGUGUGUUUAGAACAAAGACAGGGGUCAAGGUUUGGGUAACCGCAUUAAAAACAUUGGAUUUUACUGUACAUGAACACUUAGUUACCAUUACCAUGCCUUGAGCACCUAGUUACAACAAACAUUAAUUUAGCCACUUUAGAGCUUCCAGAAUCGCUAUAAAUAAUAUACCUACGCCGUACCAUGAAAACAUCAAGAAGAGAGACGGAUACAUGGACCACCAUCAAGCGAGUAGUGACAGCACGCACAAGAAUACCCGGAACCUGUUAGCUUGUCUGUAGUGAUCUGUUUUCUUCCCCAUAAAAUCCAUGAGUAUUGCCACAAAUAAUGAAAGAGGCUGACCAAGCUAGCAAGGAGGUAGAGCAAACGUGAUACACGGCCUGCCAAGAUUGCCCUGGAUACGCCAAUAAGAGCGACAGAUACAUGGAUCACACCAAUAUGGUGAAACGUAUAUUCAUCACACAAGCAAAGCUGGUCAGUUUAUCCAUGGUCAAAUUGUGGUCUUUGUUUUCACUUGAGAGCUAAUUGAGGCACUAUAAUAUGGGCAGGCCUAUCUUCAACAGACAUGACAGCUACAGGGAACUUGACAUAAUUUGCUGGGCCGCCUGUGCACAAUUAUUUGUUUUAUUGUCCUUGCAUAGAAUGCUAAAAUACUCUUUACAAAAUGUUGGAUCUAAUAUUUGAAAUAUAGAGUAGUAAUCAUAUAUUGAUCAACAACUUGAAAUUAUCUGUACAUUCUCGGUGAAGCUGUUGAACUAAUUUUUGCAAAUUAUUAAUUCAUCUCAUUACGUAAAGAAAAAAGUAAGUGGAUAAGAUAUUUCGUGGACCACAUCACUGCAAACAUGUCAUGGAGAGACAGACCAAGGAGGCAGGACGUGAUACACGACUUACCCUAGGUUGCCGUGGAACCGCCAAGAAGAGAUACAGAUACAUGGACCACACCAUCUUGGGAGUAGUGACAGCAUAUAUGCAGAAGAAUACCCCGUGCCUAUUUGCAUGCAUGUCUCAAGUGAUCUGUUUUCUUCAGAAAAUACAUGAGCAUUGCCAGAAAGAAUGGCAAGAGACAAACAUGUCAUAGAGACUUGCAUGUCUUGCCUUGGAUACGCCAAGAAGAGGGACACAUACAUGGAUAACACAAAUCUAGUGACACGUAUAUUCAUCACAAAGGCAAAUCUGAUAAUUUUAUCCAUGGAGCAGACCAAGGAGAAAUUGAUGACGGACAUGUGAUCUCUGUAUUCAGUUGAAAGCUAAUUGAGCUACACUAAUAUGAGCAGGACUAUAUUCAAGAGACUUGUUGAGAGCUACAGGGAACUUGUAAUAAUUUGCUGGGCGGCCUGCGCACAAUGAUUUGUUAUACAUAGUUGAAAUAUUUCAAGAAUUUAUCAACCUCAUACUCUGAAACCCUUGGUGCAAUGUACUCUGCUUUCCGAGGUAGACUGUUCACGUAAAAUGAGGUCAUGCGUAAGACGGAAUCGGAUUGGAUUCACAGGGAAUCAGAUUUGGAUAGCACCUUUUAGCAGGUUUUUAGUCAAAUGCAAAUUCGGAUCCACAUGUGGUUGAAUGCGAGUUCAAAAUUCUACUUGGAUAUCCAUUUAAUUUAGGUGAUAGCAAUUAGCACAAAAUGUUGGAUGAACAAAAUCAUAGUUAGACAUACAAUUACAUGUAUGGUUAAAGUAUAAUACAAUACACCAAGAUUAUUCCUUGAAAAUAUUUCUUAAAAAUAUUAUAAUAAAUGAAUAAAUAUAAUUGUGGCCACCAACAAAUAGUCGGUGGUCGCUAAGUUGGAGCCAUUUCUGGUUACUAAUGCGGCCUUCUCCUCGACCAGCGACGACAGCUGAGCUUGUUCCUUCUGACACUAAAUCAUCAGAGUCUUCCCUCCACUACUAUAGAAUGCACCUUUAGCACCAAUUGGGAAAUCCCCUUCAGUAUUGGAUGCUGCAACCAGUGCUAUAUAUCAAAAUGGAGACUAAAAGCCUCGGUCUUGGGUACCGGUUGCAUAACGCAUUACUAAAGGAGGCAAAAGAGAAAUGUAACAAAAAAAAUAUUUUGAAUUCCAAGAAUGUUUCACUAUUCAAGAUGACUAGCUGAGAGUCAACAGACAAGAUACUAGGAAUGUGGGUGCUUGAAUGCAUUUGUACAGAGGUCAUACUAUUUACAAACUCUUCUAUGUUUCCAUAUGACUACCUACUUCAAUGUCACGCGAGCCAUUCAGCUGGACACAUGGCACACUAGCUUGCAUGUCGAAUCCAUGAUUAAUUAUUUCCACUUGUGAUCUCUUACCAGUAUUUGUCCAGACUAGAAACGUGCAACACAUUUUUAGGAUAUGGACACGCAUAUAUUUGGACUAGUAUACAGGUCACCUUUGGAUGCGUACAAGGAUGACCGGGAGGGACUAGAAAUGGUCUAGUUUUGAUUGGACUACAAAACUUUUUGUACAGUGAAUAGAGAAUAUAUAUUAUUGUUGGAAUACGAGGUAGGCUACACUAUCGCAAUUCUGAUAUUCUACCGCGUAUAACCAAGAAGAACUGUCGUAUAAGGAUCACGGGAUUACCACUCGACGCACUACUGGUGCGGAAGAUGUAGAUAUGCGUCGAUGCAGUGAAGACGAUCACGUAGUCGUAUGUAGUCGAUCAACGUAGUCGUACAUAGUCGAUCACGUCCAGCAGCUCCUCAGCAGCUCGUCCACGUGCAGCAAGAUCGCCUCCGGUACCGCGGCUCGUCGUUGGCUUGUCGUGGCUCGUCGACGGCUCGUCGGCGGCUCGUCCAAGUGCUGCAGGCGCAACACCUCCAAGGUAUCCACACGUGCAGGGAGGAAGCGUCGCAAGCCGGACUGCUAGAUCCACGAGUUGCAACAGGCGAGGGCGUGGGAGGCGCGGCAGGUGUGUUUCGCCAAAAAGGUGUAAACCCUAGGGCGCCCCCACCCCUCUAUUUAUAGAGGUUCCUGACGGGCCUCUGGAUCCGAGGCCCAUUAGUACUUCUAAACCUAAUCCAACUCGGAUCAGAUCCGAAUUGGGCUUCCAGCCCCUUAAGUGUGUGACCCUAUAAGUUCGGAUACGUAUAGACAUGGCCCGAGUACUCCUACUCGGCCCAAUAGUCGGUAGCGGCCUCUAGCAAGACGUGCCAACUCCUAUACGCACACGAAGAUCAUAUCAGACGAACCAUCACAACAUAAUAUACAUGCUAUUCCCUUUGCCUCACGAUAUUUGGUCUAGCUUCAAGCCGACCGCUCUUUCUCAGUCCUGUGAUUCGGAAUCCCUUUGUAGGUUAACUCUUAACCGUACGUAGCAUGGCCAUGCAUUUUCGGAUCUGAUCACUCGAGGGGCCCAGAGAUAUCACUCUCAAUCAGAGAGGGGCAAAUCCCAUCUUGAUUGACCAUGUCUCAUAGCAUGCUUCUUGACAAACCUAAAAACUACCUUUAUAACUUCCCUGUUACGGCGUAGUGUUUGAUAGCUCCUAAGUAGGUCGAUCCACAUCUAGAAUACAUGCGACAAUUUCAGGUCUAAGGACAAAGCGUAUAUGUUGUUUAAAGAGAGAACUACUUCUCGUGUUGGGUCAGUCCCAGCACAUGUCUCCACAUGUGUCCACAUUAUUAGUUCAACAUCUCCAUGUCCAUGACUUGUGAAACAUAGUCAUCAACUAAUACAUGUGCUAGUCUAAUAUUCAUGUGUGUCCUCACAUGAACUCCGACUAGGGACAACUUUAGAAUAACCAUACAAGUAAAGAGUUUCACAUACAAUUCACAUAAUUGCAAAUCAAUUCAAGUAGCCUUCAAUGGAUAUUCAAUGAACACAACAUACAAAUCAUGGAUACAAAUGGAAUAUCAUCAUCUCUAUGAUUGCCUCUAGGGCAUACCUCCAACAGUCUCCCACUUGCACUAGAGUCAAUCUAGAAGGUACCUAAUACCCAUAGCUCUUACAUGCGCAUCAUGCUUAGCCUGCGGGAGUGGUUUUGUCAACGGAUCAGAAAUGUUCAGAUCCGUGUGUAUUUUGCAUAUCUUGAUCUCACCCCGGUUAACGAAGUCUCGAAUGAGAUGAAAUCGCCGCAUUACAUGUUUGUUCUUCUGGUGGUUCCUUGGCUCCUUUGCUUGCGCAAUUGCCCCAUUGUUAUCACAGUAGAGAUUCAAUGGGCUGGACCCAUUCGGGAACACACCAAGCUCAAUGAGGAAAUUCCUUAUCCAAACACCUUCCUUCGCGGCUUCCGAAGCCGCGAUGUACUCGGCUUCUGUCGUAGAAUCGGCCACCGUCUCCUGCUUGGAACUCUUCCAACUAACAGCACCACCAUUUAGCGUGAACACAAAUCCUGUUUGUGACUUUGAAUCAUCUCUGUCGGUUUGGAAACUAGCAUCGGUGUAACCUGUUACAACGAGCUCCUCCUCACCUCCAUAGACGAGGAAUAUAUCUUUAGUCCUUCUCAAGUACUUAAGAAUGUUUUUCACCGCUGUUCAGUGACUCUCACCUGGAUCAGAUUGGUGUCUGCUUGUCAUACUUAGCACAUAUGAAACAUCUGGGCGAGUACUUAUCAUUGCAUACAUGAUAGAUCCAAUAGCCGAGGCAUAUGACACUCUACUCAUGUGAUCCCGCUCAUCAGCAGUCGAAGGACACUGAGUCUUGCUGAGAUGUAUGCCAUGUGACAUAGGCAAGAACCCUUCCAUGCUGAACCGCUUCAACACUUUGUCAAUGUAAGUAUCUUGGCUUAAACCUAUAAGCCUUCUCGAUCUAUCUCUAUAGAUCUUAAUGCCCAGAAUAUAUGCCGCUUCCCCUAAGUCCUUCAUCGAAAAACUAUUUUUCAGUGAAGUCUUUAUGGACUCAAGCAUAGGAAUGUUAUUUCCAAUCAGUAAUAUGUCAUCCACAUAUAAGAUUAGAAAUACUACAGAGCUCCCACUAACCUUCUUGUAAACACAAGACUCUUCUUCGUUCUUGGUGAAGUCAAACCCUUUGACCACUUCAUCAAAACGAAUGUUCCAACUCCUAGAUGCUUGCUUCAAUCAAUAAAUGGAUCUCUGAAGCUUGCAUACCUUUCCAGCAUUUUUCGGAUCGACAAAACCCUUGGACUGUAUCAUAUACACGUCCUCAGUUAGGUUUCCAUUCAGGAAAGCUGUCUUGACAUCCAUCUGCCAUAUCUCAUAAUCGAAAUAUGCAGCCAAACUUGAUUGUCUCCCAUGGACUCUAUUUCGGAUUGCAUGGCAUUCUGCCAUUUUUCGGAGUCUGGGUCCAUCAUUGCUUCUGCAUAUGUCACAGGCUCAUCAUUGUCCAACAAUAAUAUUUCCUGCAUUUCGCGGAGCCUUGCCGACCUUCGUGGUUGUGGCGGUGCUUCUCUUGCCAUGGGUAUCUCAACUUGUUCUGCUACGUUAGCAUCACUCAUUGAUUCUUGCCCGAUCGGCUCAUCUUGAACUUCUUCAAGAUGCACUGUCUUUCCACUCUUUUCUCCUUUGAGAAACUCUUUCUCUAGGAAAACCCCGUUCCGAGCGACAAACACUUUGCCUUCUGAUCAGUUGUAAAAAUAAUAUCCCAAAGUUUCCUUUGGAUAUCCCACGAAAAUGCACUUAUCCGACUUGGGUGCGAUCUUGUCCGACUGAAGUCGCUUGACAAACACAUCACAUCCCCAAAUCUUUAGAAAAGACAAACUAGGAACCUUUCCAGUCCAUAUCUCAUAUGGUGUCUUAACUACGGAUUUAGAUGGUACCCUAUUAAGUGUGAAAGCUGCUGUUUCUAGAGCGUAUCCCCAAAAUGACAACGGUAGGUCCGACUGGCUCAUCAUUGAUCGAACCAUGUCUAACAAAGAUCGAUUACGUCGCUCGGACACACCGUUUCUCUGAGGUGAUCCAGGCGGCGUAAGUUGUGGAACAAUUCCGCAACUCUUUAGAUGAUUGCUAAACUUGUGGCUCAAAUACUCGCCUCCACGAUCAGAUUGUAAGGCCUUAAUUUUCUUGACACGCUAAUUUUCAACUUCAUUCUGAAAAUCCUUGAACUUUUCAAAGGUUUCAGACUUGUGCCUCAUCAAGUAGACAUAGCCAUAUCUACUAAAAUCAUCAGUGAAAGAUAUGAAGUAUUGGAAUCCUCCUCUAGCCGUCGUGCUCAUUGGUCCGCAUACAUCACUAUGUACGAGUUCCAACAAGUCUACUGCUCUCUCAGGAAAUCCUGUGAAAGACGUCUUGGUCAUCUUGCCUAGCAAGCAAGCCUCACAUGUCUCGUAUGAUUCAAAAUCAAACGAAGUUAGAAGUCCAUCAGAAUGGAGCUUCUUCAUGCGUUUUUCACUUAUAUGACCCAAACGACAAUGCCACAAGUAGGUAGGACUCAAAUCAUUAGGCCGAGGCCUUUUAGCACUUACAUUACAGACAGGUGAACCAUCAAGAUUUAAAACAAAUAAUCCAUUCACAAUGGGUGCAAAAGCCAUAAACAUAUUAUUCUUAGAGAUCACACAACCAUUGUUUUCACUCGCAAAUGAAUAACCAUCCUUCAUCAAGCAUGAAGGAGACAAAAUGUUUCGACUUAAACUAGGAACAAAAUAACAAUUAUUCAACUCCAUAAUAAAUGCUGACGGGAGGUGGAGUUGCAUCGUCCCGACGGUCAACGCAGCAACUCUUGCAUUAUUGCCCACGCGGAAAUCAACUUCUCCUCUUUCCACGCUUCUACUUCUUAUCAUUCCCUGCAUCGAAUUGCAAAUAUGAGCAACCGAUCCGGUAUCAAAUACCCAAGAAUUAAUAAUUGUAUCAGCGAGAAAUAUGUUGUCUAUGACAUUAACAACAAGCGUACCUGAGGUAGAAGUACUCUUACUUCCUCCAUUCUUCAACGAAGCUAGGUACUGCUUGCAGUUUCUCUUCCAGUGACCAAGUUCAUGACAGUAAAAGCACUCUUUGUCUGGAGCAGGUCCAGGUCCAGCUUUAACCUUGGGCGCUCGCUGGGUUUGGCUUGGAAAUUCCAGCCUUGCCCUUCUUCUUCCAAGAAUUGCCCUUCUUCUUAAAGCUAGGCUUGUUCUGUAUAGCCAUCACAUGGCUAGUACAAGCGCUUUUCUUGAUGUCUACCUCUGCUGUCUUGAGCAUACCACACAGUUCAUUCAAACCCUUCUCCGUCCCAUGCAUAUGGUAGUUCGAGAUGAAGUUCCCAUAGCUAGGCGGAAGAGAUGAAAGAAUGAAGUCAGUGGCCAACUCUUUGCCCAUUGGGAAGCCCAGCUUCUCCAAUCGCUGAGUGUAACCAACCAUGUUGAUUACAUGUGGUCCUACUGCUGCGUCUUCUGCUAGCUUGCACUCCAGAAAAGCUUUGGACACAUUGAACCUUUCAGUCCUAGCCUGUGUCUGGAACAUGUCCUUGAGCGCCACGAUCAUAUCGUGUGCCUCAUGAUUUGUUUCGAACUGCAUCUGCAGCUCGGGUUCCAUGCAAGCAAGCAUAAGGCAGCUUACCUCAAGAUUAGCAUCAAAUGCCUUCUUGUAAGCAGCCUUAACGGCAGCAGAUGCAUCAUCAGCAGGUACUGGUGGUAGUGGGGUAUCUAGAACAUCUUCCUUUUUAUCGGCCCUGAGAACAAUUCUCAGGUUACGGAUCCAAUCCGAGUAGUUUGUUCCAUUCAACUUGUCCUUCUCAAGGACCGAGCGCAAAGCAAACGAUGUGGUGGUGUUGCUAGGUGCCAUUUAAUCUACAACAAAAGUAAUGCAAAAUACACUAAGACAAACGUAUCCAUGAUAGAGCAAAUUACAUUAAACUAUUUUAACAGAAUCUACUCCCACUAAAAUCAAUAUCCCUCUAUUGAAACUUAGUGAUUCAGGAUCCACAACUAACAAGUCUACUAGUGAGCUUUAGCAUCACCGCUAGCAAACGAGGUAGAUCGGUAAGCAACUUUUGCUAAUCAUAUCACAUAUGACUCCUGUUGUUGGGUGACAUCUCCAUGUCUCGGCGCCCAACCAUUAUGCCCCAAGGUCCUUAACCGUUAAGAUGACCUCGUUAAGCAAACCAACCCUUAUGCGUGUAAGUGUCCGACACAAACCCGUCUAGUCAAGGAAAACUAGUGGCACCCUAAUUUCAUAGACCCACCACUAAUUGUACAAGACAUGGGACGGUGCAAGUUUUAGUUGGGAGGGCAUACUAACUUAAAUUUUUUGUGAGGGAUCGUUCUACUUCUAACAUCACAGCAUGCAGAAAGUAAAACAUAAACAGAAUAGCAUUCACACAGCUGUGACACAGUAUGGCCCGUUUUUAUAUGGUGAUCUCCAUCUCCAUAGAACCUGUUCACCAUGGUGAUCUCCAUCUCCAUGUUCCAUGUGCGCCAUCCUCCUGGUGAGGAGUCCUCCAAGAACUAGAACAUGCUAUUACACCUAAUAGCUAGUAAAGAAUCUAGUAAUGAAGAUUACAUAGUUGCUUGGAUCAUCACAGAUUGGUACGCAGACCAUUAAAUACAAUAAAGUGACAACACAUAUGGCUCCUGCCGUGUUGCCGUACGCGCGACACGCAGGUCACGAAUGAGUUACACACAUGCAUCACAUACACAAGGGGGCCAUACUGAUCACAAGAUACAUACAUACAUCCUGCAAAACAGAGUUAGGCGUCCUAACGUUCCAAACUUCGAAGGCCCGAAACUCCAUCUUCCAAGCCGAAUUUGGGAAAUCUAAUUUUGCCGAAAACGGCAAAGCGGUUGAAUUUCAUGUGUAACUUUUUCUGUAGAUCAAUUUUCAUAUAAAAUUCGCCCCGAUCCGAGAUCGUACCGAAAAGUUACGGCUGAUUUACCGAAGCAUACGCAUACGGCAAAAAUUCCGACCCCGGCAGUAGAUCCCAUCUACUAUUGCACAUCUAAUGCGCCUGGCGUAUGAUCCUGGAUUUCGAUUCGACCAAUCAUAUUGAUCUUCGCUCACUGCAACUGGAAUUACGUGUAUCACUUAACUCGUCGGCGGCUCGUCGGCGGCUCAUCCAAGUGCUGCAGGCCCAACACCUCCAAGGUAUCCACACGUGCAGGGAGGAAGCGUCGCAAACCGGACUGCUAGAUCCGCGAGUUGCAAUAGGCGAGGGCGUGGGAGGCGCCGCAGGUGUGUUUCGCCAAAAAGAUGUAAACCCUAGGGCGCCCCCACCCCUCUAUUUAUAGAGGUUCCUGACGGGCCUCUGGAUCCGAGGCCCAUUAGUACUUCUAAACCUAAUCCAACUCGGAUCAGAUCCGAAUUGGGCUUCCAGCCCCUUAAGUGUGUGACCCUAUGGGUUCGGAUACGUAUAGACAUGGCCCGAGUACUCCUACUCGGCCCAAUAGUCGGUAGCGGCCUCUAGCAAGACGUGCCAACUCCUAUACACACACGAAGAUCAUAUCAGAUGAACCAUCACAACAUAAUAUACAUGCUAUUCCCUUUGCCUCACGAUAUUUGGUCUAGCUUCAAGCCGACCGCUCUUUCUCAAUCCUGUGAUUCGGAAUCCCUUUGUAGGUUAACUCUUAACCGUACGUAGCAUGGCCAUGCAUUUUCGGAUCCGAUCACUCGAGGGGCCCAGAGAUAUCACUCUCAAUCAGAGAGGGGCAAAUCCCAUCUUGAUUGACCAUGUCUCAUAGCAUGCUUCUUGACAAACCCGAAAACUACCUUUAUAACUACCCUGUUACGGCGUAGCAUUUGAUAGCCCCUAAGUAGGUCGAUCCACAUCUAGAAUACAUGCGACAAUCUCAGGUCUAAGGACAAAGCGUAUAUGUUGUUUAAAGAGAGAACUACUUCUCGUGUUGGGUCAGUCCCAGCACAUGUCUCCACAUGUGUCCACAUUAUUAGUUCAACAUCUCCAUGUCCAUGACUUGUGAAACAUAGUCAUCAACUAAUACAUGUGCUAGUCUAAUAUUCAUGUGUGUCCUCACAUGAACUCCGACUAGGGACAACUUUAGAAUAACCAUACAAGUAAAGAGUUUCACAUACAAUUCACAUAAUUGCAAAUCAAUUCAAGUAGCCUUCAAUGGAUAUUCAAUGAACACAACAUACAAAUCAUGGAUACAAAUGGAAUAUCAUCAUCUCUAUGAUUGCCUCUAGGGCAUACCUCCAACAAUUAUUUCAUGUAAAUUUUUGACAAUUUUUUAAAAUUGUUUGAUAUUUUUUAAAUUUUUUUUAAAAUAACUUUGCCGAGUGUCCUAUUGUAGACACUCGGCAAAGCAGCCUUCACCGAGUGUUACCCCUGGGACACUCGGCGAAUUAAUGCCCGGCCGCUCAAGAAUAUGUGCCCGGCCCCCUCACUCUCCCGGCCCCCCUCACUCUCACUCCCCUCACUCCCUCCUCUCUCCCUCCUCUCUCCCUCUCGCCGCCGCCCGAAACCCCCGCCGCCGCCCGCCGCCCGGCAUGCCGCCCAGCGCCCCCCGCCGCCGCCCGGCGCUCCCGAAUCCGCCGCCGCCCGCCCGGCGCCCGGCCCCCGGAUCCGCCGCCGCCGGCCGCCCGGCGCCCCCGGAUUCGCCGCCGCCCGCCCGGCCCCCGGCCCCCGGAUCAGCCGCCGCCCGCCGCCCGGCGCACGGCGCCCCCGGAUCCGCCGCCGCCUGCCCGGCGCCCGGCCCCUGGCCCCCUGAUCCGCCGCCGCCCGCCCGGAUCCGCCGCCGCCCGCCCGGCGCCCGGCCCCCGGCCCCCGGAUCCACCGCCGCCCCCCCGGCCCCCGGAUCCGCCGCCCGCCCGUCCCCUCCACCGGAUCCGCCGGCGCCGGGGCCUGAAGAGAAGAGAAGAGGAGAGGAUGGUGGCGGCGGCGGCCGCGGCGGCGGAGCAGGUGGCAGAGCAUGCAUGAUUUUUUUUUAUUUUUUCAAUAAUUGUUCGCCAAGUGUUUUCUGGGCACUCGGCAAAGUCUUUGCCGAGUGCCCGACACAAAACACUCGGCGAACCAGUGUUUGCCGUCAAGAUUUUUGCCGUGUGUCGUUUGCCGAGUGUUACACUCGGCAAACGCUUUGUCGAGUGUUUUUGGGGUUUCGCGGAGUGACCCUGGCACUCGGCAUCACGCAUGUUUCCCUUAGUGAACUUGAAAUUAUCUGUACAUUCUCGGUGAAGCUGUUGAACUAAUUUUUGCAAAUUAUUAAUUCAUCUCAUUACGCAAAGAAAAAAGUAAGUGGAUAAGAUAUUUCGUGGACCACAUCACUGCAAACAUGUCAUGGAGAGACAGACCAAGGAGGCAGGACGUGAUACACGACUUACCCUAGGUUGCCGUGGAACCGCCAAGAAGAGAUACAGAUACAUGGACCACACCAUCUUGGGAGUAGUGACAGCAUAUAUGCAGAAGAAUACCCCGUGCCUAUUUGCAUGCAUGUCUCAAGUGAUCUGUUUUCUUCAGAAAAUACAUGAGCAUUGCCAGAAAGAAUGGCAAGAGACAAACAUGUCAUAGAGACUUGCAUGUCUUGCCUUGGAUACGCCAAGAAGAGGGACACAUACAUGGAUAACACAAAUCUAGUGACACGUAUAUUCAUCACAAAGGCAAAUCUGAUAAUUUUAUCCAUGGAGCAGACCAAGGAGAAAUUGAUGACGGACAUGUGAUCUCUGUAUUCAGUUGAAAGCUAAUUGAGCUACACUAAUAUGAGCAGGACUAUAUUCAAGAGACUUGUUGAGAGCUACAGGGAACUUGUAAUAAUUUGCUGGGCGGCCUGCGCACAAUGAUUUGUUAUACAUAGUUGAAAUAUUUCAAGAAUUUAUCAACCUCAUACUCUGAAACCCUUGGUGCAAUGUACUCUGCUUUCCGAGGUAGACUGUUCACGUAAAAUGAGGUCAUGCGUAAGACGGAAUCGGAUUGGAUUCACAGGGAAUCAGAUUUGGAUAGCACCUUUUAGCAGGUUUUUAGUCAAAUGCAAAUUCGGAUCCACAUGUGGUUGAAUGCGAGUUCAAAAUUCUACUUGGAUAUCCAUUUAAUUUAGGUGAUAGCAAUUAGCACAAAAUGUUGGAUGAACAAAAUCAUAGUUAGACAUACAAUUACAUGUAUGGUUAAAGUAUAAUACAAUACACCAAGAUUAUUCCUUGAAAAUAUUUCUUAAAAAUAUUAUAAUAAAUGAAUAAAUAUAAUUGUGGCCACCAACAAAUAGUCGGUGGUCGCUAAGUUGGAGCCAUUUCUGGUUACUAAUGCGGCCUUCUCCUCGACCAGCGACGACAGCUGAGCUUGUUCCUUCUGACACUAAAUCAUCAGAGUCUUCCCUCCACUACUAUAGAAUGCACCUUUAGCACCAAUUGGGAAAUCCCCUUCAGUAUUGGAUGCUGCAACCAGUGCUAUAUAUCAAAAUGGAGACUAAAAGCCUCGGUCUUGGGUACCGGUUGCAUAACGCAUUACUAAAGGAGGCAAAAGAGAAAUGUAACAAAAAAAAUAUUUUGAAUUCCAAGAAUGUUUCACUAUUCAAGAUGACUAGCUGAGAGUCAACAGACAAGAUACUAGGAAUGUGGGUGCUUGAAUGCAUUUGUACAGAGGUCAUACUAUUUACAAACUCUUCUAUGUUUCCAUAUGACUACCUACUUCAAUGUCACGCGAGCCAUUCAGCUGGACACAUGGCACACUAGCUUGCAUGUCGAAUCCAUGAUUAAUUAUUUGCACUUGUGAUCUCUUACCAGUAUUUGUCCAGACUAGAAACGUGCAACACAUUUUUAGGAUAUGGACACGCAUAUAUUUGGACUAGUAUACAGGUCACCUUUGGAUGCGUACAAGGAUGACCGGGAGGGACUAAUGGAUACAAGGAAGGGACCAUCAGGAUUAAUAUUGACAUAUGCCACAUGACAAUCUUCAUUGUCAUGCAAUCCCUAUCAACAAUCAUGGAAUCCCUAGUGUACUAAUCCCUGGAGGGUUGUGUGGAAAUUUAUUUUACCUUGCGGUGAAAAUCUCAUGAGCAGUCAUUAGUUAAGCUGACUAGCUGAGAUAUAAUAGACAAGCUAGUAAGAUUGGGAGCAUCAAUGCAUCCAUACAGGGUCACAAUAUCCUUUCCAUUCACUUUUAUAUAUAACCCUACGAAUACAAGUCCAACGAAAUGCGGGCCUUUCGAUCAAGAUAAAUUAAAUGGCCCACUUGUAUUUCUAAUCCAGGAUUAACUAUGCCCUCUGUUCAUCUCUUGCAAGCACGUGCAACACAUUUUCACGAUAUGGACAUGCAUGGAGGUUAUUAUACUGUUUGGACAAACUCUGAUGUGCCAUGACCUAAAUGCUUAGGGCCUGUUUGGUUUGAGUUGCUUAUUAUAAGCAACUUAAAGUUGCUUAAAGUUGCUUAUUUGAAGUUGCUUAUUUUUAGUCUAAACUGUUUGGAUACCCUUGCUUAUGAGCAUUGAAUGAGUUGGACAUUGUCAAAUUUGCCCCAUGUGUUGCUACCCCUCCAAUUUGCCUCCCCACCCUUCUUCUUCCUGCACACGUCCGAUCCCGGGGGCCGACGGCGGGCAGGGAGCAGCAGCAGCUGGCCAGGGCGGCGGUGGGGCGGGAGCGGCGGCGCACACCAGCACGCGCUCGCACGCCAGGUGCUAGGGCGCGGCGAGGCAGUCGUCGUAGCCCACCGGGAGCGGGUGCUCGGGCGCGAGGCGGUACUCGACGGAGAUGCCGAGCGUCGGGCGCGCGGCGGCGAGCGCGUUGAGGAAGCGAUGGUAGUGCGGCGACGUCGCGGACUCCGCCACGAAGCCGCCGCCGUGGACGUACACCACCACGGGCAGCUUCGUCUUGCCGUCGGCGGCCGCGGCCGCGGCCUGGGGUGGCAGGUAGAGGCGGACGGAGCAGGAGCCGAGGUCGACGUCCCUGGAGUCGACGCCCGUGGCGGCGUCCAGGCUAGGCCCGACCGGCGGCGGCACGAGCGGGCGCUCGAUGCGGCCGCUCUUGUAAAUCCGACGGGUCUGUGCGGAGGCGGGCGGCGGGCGGGAGCGGCGGGUGGGAGCGGCGGCAGGUGGUGCGGAGGCCGGCGGCGGCGGGUGGCGCGGAGGAAGGGGAGCUGGUGAGUGGUGACAGGGGAGGGGGGGAGAGAGAGGGGGGGGUAGGGUGCAUUGAAUGAGGGCAGGAGGUGUAAAGUGCACCUUUUAGUCCCCAUGAGCAACCAUAAGCAGCCCAAGAGUUGCUUAUUUGCUUAUAAUAAGCAACCUCAUAAGCAAGAGUGAUUGGUUUCAUAAGCAACUUAUUUGCUUAUUUUAAGUUGCUUAUGCAUAAGCAUGUGAAACCAAGCAGGUCCUUAACCUAUGGUUGUGGCACCACACAGUACAUAGUAUUUAAUAAUGCUAUUCGUUUGGUAUGUGCACAAGGGCACGCAUGAAAUGUCUGGCCCACGGUAAACAAGUACGGACGCUGCAAAUAAUCUACUCUGCUCGUCCAGUCCCUAGCCUAUAAAUAGAUGCCAUGCUAGCUCUUGUUGUGCUCACAAUUAAUCCUGACUACACACGAGCUUCUCUCCCUGGCCAAGACACAAUCAUAGUAUGAUGAAGAACAUGGCACUAGCCGGCAAUGGUAUGAAGAACUUAAUCCUCGCUGUUCUCUUACUGUGUCUAGUUAUAGGGCAGAUACAAGUGGAAGCUAAGAGCUGCUGCCCAUCCAUUACUGCAAGAAAUAUCUACAAUGCCUGCCGUAUCACGGGUACAUCCCGUCCAACGUGUGCAAAACUGUCAGGCUGCAAAAUUAUCAGCGGGGACAAAUGCAAGCCCCCUAACGACCACCUCACCCUUGACCCGGACACUGGUAAAUAAUAAAUUUAUCUCACUUGAUUUCUUCGUGUUUUGAGUCGUUAAUGUAUUUUCCAUCUGAUGAAACGUAUUGGUUUUGCAUUGAAGAGGAAGUUAAUGUGCUUAACUUCUGCAAGUUGGGGUGUGCGUCGUCUGUGUGCAACAACAUCAACGCUGGUAAGCACCUUUUGCUCAGACGGAGAAAACAAUAAUCAUUAAUUAGCGGCAGCUAGAAUCCUAUAAUCUAAUAUAUUUAUAUAUAUAUAUAAUUUUAUCAGCUCUGGGAAAUGAAGAGGCGAACGAUGCCGUUGAGAGUUGCGACCAAGCCUGCUCUAGCUUCUGCAACGUGCACGUUGGCGCUGCCACCGUGGUUGCUUAAGCAAAUGCAUCCAACUGGAUCGUCCUUGUGCUAAAUAAUUGGAUAUCGUAUCCACUUAAAGCUGCCUUGUGUAGUACGUUUUUGUUUGUGUCUCUCUUUAUAUUCCAAUAAGGUCGGUGAUCUUGAUGCCACACACUCAGACGUGUGUUCAUCUCCAGAUACUACUCCAUGCUACCUGCCCUUUGUGUUUUGUUCAAUAACUGGGUAUCAUAUCCCAGCCAGUGUGCCAUCUGUUUUGUGUUUAUUUCCUUCUAGUUUCAAAGGGGUUAUCAUGAUGUUACCUUCUUUCGAUAUGGUGCUUUGCAUGAC